rnacentral:lncRNA from 1 species
ACCAGUCUCUAAGAGGUGAGAUAAGUCCUUCUCUGCUUGAAUUGGAUCACUUAACUCAUUUGGAUCUCAGCUAUAAUGAUUUUGAAGGGAGGCAUAUACCUCCAUUCCUUGGUUCCCUCAGCAGAAUGCAGUACCUCAAUCUCUCUCAUGCCAAUUUCGCUCAAACUGUUCCCACUCAACUGGGAAAUCUUUCCAACUUGCUUUCCCUUGACCUCAGCGAUAAUUAUCUCUUGAAUUCUGGGAACCUGGAGUGGCUUUCUCGUCUUUCUUCUUUAAGACACCUUGACCUGAGUUCUGUCAACCUUAGUGAAGCCAUCCACUGGUCACAAGCAAUUAAUAAACUCCCUUCUCUCAUUCACUUGGACUUACAACACUGUUAUCUCCCUCCCAUCCCCCCACUCACCAUUCCGUCUCUUUCCCAUGGGAAUUCCUCUGUCCCUCUUGUUUUCCUUGAUCUCUCUGGGAAUUAUCUCACUUCUUCAAUAUACCCAUGGUUGCUCAACUUUAGUACCACCCUCCUUCAUCUUGAUCUCUCUUUCAAUGGUUUAAACGGUUCGAUUCCGGAAUAUGCUUUUGGGAACAUGAGUUCCCUUGAAUAUCUUGAUCUCCAUUCGAGUGAACUUGAUGAUGAAAUUCCGGAUACAAUUGGAGACAUGGGUUCACUUGCAUAUCUUGAUAUCUCUGAAAAUCAACUGUGGGGCUCAAUUCCAGAUACAGUUGGGAAGAUGGUUUUACUUUCACAUCUUGAUCUCUCUCUCAAUCAACUGCAGGGCUCCAUUCCAGAUACAGUUGGGAACAUGGUUUCUCUUAAAAAACUCUCUCUCUCUGAGAAUCAUCUUCAAGGUGAGAUUCCAAAAUCCUUGAGUAAUUUAUGUAACUUACAAGAAUUAGAGUUGGAUAGAAACAAUCUCUCUGGACAGCUUGCACCAGACUUUGUGGCCUGUGCAAAUGACACAUUAGAGACUCUGUUUUUAUCGGAUAACCAGUUCAGUGGAUCAGUUCCUGCUCUCAUUGGAUUUUCAUCCUUGAGAGAGUUACAUCUUGAUUUUAAUCAACUAAAUGGAACUUUACCUGAAAGUGUUGGACAGCUGGCCAACCUUCAAUCCUUGGAUAUUGCCUCAAAUUCAUUGCAAGGCACUAUCUCUGAAGCCCAUCUCUUUAAUCUAUCCUGGUUGUCCUAUUUAAACUUAUCUUCCAACUCUCUCACUUUCAACAUGAGCUUGGAUUGGGUUCCUCCAUUUCAACUGCUUUCUCUACGAUUAGCCUCCUGCAAAUUGGGACCUCGUUUUCCUAGUUGGCUUCGUACUCAAAACCAGUUGAGUGAGCUUGAUAUCUCCAAUUCUGAAAUUUCAGAUGUCCUCCCAGACUGGUUUUGGAAUGUAACCUCAACUGUCAAUACCUUGAGUAUUUCCAACAAUCGGAUCAAAGGGACCUUACCGAAUUUAUCAUCAGAAUUUGGUUCUUUUUCUAACAUAGAUAUGAGCUCAAACUGUUUUGAGGGUUCAAUACCACAACUUCCUUAUGAUGUGCAAUGGUUGGAUCUCUCCAAUAACAAGUUAUCGGGGUCCAUUUCUUUAUUAUGUACAGUUGGUACUGAGUUACUUCUACUUGACCUCUCAAACAACUCGUUGUCGGGAGGGCUGCCCAAUUGUUGGGCGCAGUGGGAAAGCUUGGUAGUUCUUAAUUUGGAAAAUAACAGAUUUUCUGGGCAAAUUCCAAUUUCAUUUGGUUCCUUGCGAUCAAUUCAAACACUACAUUUGCGCAACAACAAUUUAACUGGAGAAUUGCCUUUAUCUUUUAAGAAUUGUACAAGUUUGAGGUUCAUUGAUUUGGCAAAAAAUAGGUUAUCAGGAAAAAUACCAGAAUGGAUUGGAGGAAGCCUCCCAAAUCUGACUGUUCUAAACCUAGGAUCUAAUAGAUUCAGUGGAGGUAUAUGUCCAGAGCUAUGCCAAUUGAAAAAUAUUCAAAUAUUGGACCUCUCUAGCAACAAUAUGUUAGGUGUUGUACCGAGAUGUGUUGGUGGUUUCACUGCCAUGACUAAGAAAGGGAGCUUGGUCAUUGUUCAUAAUUAUUCAUUUGCAGACUUCUCUAGUAAGUAUUCACUUAUUAGGAAUGCCUUUUAUGUUGAUAGGGCAUUGGUUAAAUGGAAAGGAAGAGAAUUUGAAUAUAAAAGUACCCUUGGGCUUGUAAAGAGUAUUGAUUUUUCAAGCAACAAACUAUCGGGGGAAAUUCCAGAAGAAGUAAUUGAUCUUGUAGAAUUAGUUUCAUUAAACUUAUCAAGGAACAAUUUGACGAGAUUGAUCCCUGCAAGAAUUGGUCAAUUGAAAUCAUUGGAGGUUCUUGAUUUGUCUCAAAAUCAACUCUUUGGUGAAAUUCCAGCUAGCCUUGUUGAAAUAAGUGAUCUAAGUGUCUUAGAUCUCUCUGACAACAACUUGUCGGGUAAAAUUCCACAAGGUACUCAACUUCAAAGCUUCAAUAUUGAUUCCUACAAGGGAAAUCCUGCACUCUGUGGAUUGCCUCUUCUGAAAAAGUGUUUUGAAGAUAAAAUAAAGCAAGAUUCUCCUACUCAUAACAUUGAAGACAAAAUUCAGCAAGAUGGAAAUGACAUGUGGUUUUAUGUUAGCGUUGCUCUUGGAUUCAUUGUUGGAUUUUGGGGAGUGUGUGGAACUUUACUACUCAACAACUCAUGGAGAUAUGCCUAUUUCCAAUUCUUGAAUAAAAUAAAAGAUUGGCUCUACGUGAUUAUAGCAAUAAAUAUGGCUAGAUUACAAAGGAGUCUUCAAAGCUAAAUGGUACAAUUCUCUCCCUCUCUCACUCUCUUUCAUUUGUACUUGUUUUUUCAGGCUAACAAUUGUCAAAGAAAAGUAGGCCUUUACAUAUCCUUGGGAUAUACUUUAUAAAUCACGAAUGCUAAUGCAAAUUUUCUUUCCAAGCAACUAAUUGAAGGGAUUUUUUCAAAUUGAUGAACAUUGAUUUUUACUUUGUGUUAAUUGCAGGACUGCAACUCUUGUUCUUGCCAUAUUAGCAUGGUUGAAUGCAAAUCGUUGUGUCCUUCCUUCUAUGAUUGAUCUUGGGAUGUAAUAGGUUUCUUGUUUUAUUUUGAGGAUUACUAAUGUUCUUUAGAUGUGUAUUUUAUAUUUUAUUCAGAAAUUUGUGUGACAUAUUAUCUCUUUUCUUCCUUACACAAUGCUUUUAUUUGGUAUUUGGAUACUUUAUGAUUCAUCCAAACAGUAUUAUACAAGGAUAUCAAAGGUAUAUUAGAGUCCAACUUUCUAAUUUUAAAAAUAUUUCUUUAGCUCUAAAACUAAUUUUUUUUCAUUAAAAUUAAAACAAAAUAAAGGAUAAUGUCAUUUGGUUAUGUAUGACAUAAGUUUUCAACCAAUUAUUAAUAAUUAAAUCAUAAUUUCAAAACUAAAGAAUUUUUUUUUUCACAAGUUAUUAAUGAUAUGUUUCUCUCUUUCUAAAAAAACUAAAUUACUCUAAUAAAUGGGAAACUCUUACUUUCAGUUCGUUUAAGCUUUUUCACUUGAAGUUGUCUCACAUGUAGAUAAUUUUUGUGGAAUAUUUUGUUUUCAUCAAUUUUAUAAAAUAUUAAGUCUAACUUCUUUUCUUAAUAAAAGGUUUUUUCUAAGCAAUUAAAAAACCUCUUGUUCUUUUCUCUAUUUUAACAUAAUUCAACUUUAGGAUGACUAAAAUAUGAUUGAAAAAUAUAAAAUAAGAGAGAAUAAUUAUUUGGAUCUUAGCUGUAAUCAUUUUGAAGGGAGGCACAUACCUCCAUUCCUUGGUUCCCUCAGCAGAAUGCAGUACCUCAAUCUCUCCAGGGCCAAUUUCUCUCAAACUGUUCCCACUCAACUGGGAAAUCUUUCCAACUUGCUUUCCCUUGACCUUAGCGGUAGUUAUUAUGAGUUGAAUUCUGGGAACCUGGAGUGGCUUUCUCGUCUUUCUUCUUUAAGACUCCUUGACCUGAGUUUUGUCGACCUUAGUGAAGCCGACCAUCCACUGGUCACAAGCAAUUAAUAAACUCCCUUCUCUCAUUCACUUGGAUACAAAAUUGUGGUCUCCCUCCCAUCCCUCCACUCACCAUUCCAUCUCUUUCCCAUGUGAAUUCCUCUGUCCCUCUUGUUUUCGUUGAUCUCUCUUCGAAUCAUCUCACUUCUUCAAUAUACCCAUGGCUGCUCAACUUUAGUACCACCCUCCUUCAUCUUGAUCUCUCUUUCAAUGAUUUAAACUGUUCGAUUCCGGAAUAUGCUUUUGGGAACAUGAGUUCCCUUGAAUAUCUUGAUCUCCACAAGAGUGAACUUGAUGAUGAAAUUCCGGAUACAAUUAGAGACAUGGGUUCUCUUGCAUAUCUUGAUCUCUCUGGCAAUCAACUGUGGGGCUCAAUUCCAGAUACAGUUGGGAAGAUGGUUUUACUUUCACAUCUUGAUCUCUCUUACAAUCAACUACAGGGCUCAAUUCCAGACACAGUUGGGAAGAUGGUUUUACUUUCACAUCUUGAUCUCUCUCGCAAUCAACUACAGGGCUCCAUUCCAGAUGCAGUUGGAAACAUGGUUUCUCUUGAAAAACUCUAUCUCUCUCAAAAUCAUCUUCAAGGUGAGAUUCCAAAAUCCUUGAGUAAUUUAUGGAACUUACAAGCAUUUGGAUAUGUUUCAACCAAUUAUUAAUAAUCAAAUCAUAAUUUCAACAUUAAAGAAAAAAGAAAUUUUAAUCGCAAGUUAUUAAUGAUCUGUUUCUCUCUUUCUAAAAAAACUAAAUUACUCUAAUAAAUGGGAAACUCUUUCUUUCUUGUUGUCAAAGUUUUUCACUUGGAGUUGUCUCACAUGCAGAUAAUUUUUGUGGAAUAUUUUGUUUUCAUCCAUUUUUUGCUUAUCUCAAGUUAACUUCAUUUUCUUCUUAGUGGUUGAUUUUAUAGGAUAUUAAGUCUAACUUCUUUUCUUAAUAAAAAGCUUUUUCUAAGCAAUUAAAAAAAAACUAUUGUUAUUUUCUCUAUUUUAACAUAAUCCAACUAUAGGAUAACUAAAAUAUGAUUGAAAAAUAUAAAAUAAGAGAGAAUAAUUAUAUUUUAAUUAUACUCGAUAAGUAAUAUCAAAUAUUUGAUUCACUUAUUAGAAAGUAGUAUUGAUCUCCAACAUCAUGAGAUUAACAUCCCAAUGAUUUUUUUUUUAUUUGUUAAAAAUUCUUAUCUUUCAAUACAUUACAAAAUUCCUUAAACACUUUAGCCCAAUGAUCUCAUGUUGUUUUGUUUUAGUUUUUUUUUCCUUCAUUUCCAGUCUUUUUUAAGGUCCUCCAUAGCUUGGAUUACACUUUGUGAGAAUUUACUCAAAAAGUCAUUAAGAAUCAAGUCCUAUCAAGUUUUUAAAAUCGUAAAAAUGAAAACUUUUAUAUUACCAUUCUUUUAUAAGUUUUUGUAUUUAUUAAUUUUUAUUUAUUUCUUUAUGAUAAAAUCUUUUAUCUAAAAUAUUUUUCAUGAAACAAUAAUUCUUUACUAUGAUUUUUUAAAUUUAAAAUUAUAAAAGACUUCAAUUCUUAUUAAAAAUAUUAUUUAUAUUAAUAUUUUCUUCUGAGCUCUUUCUAUCAGAACAAGUAGUGACUGUGUAGAUCCCUCAUUUUGGUUCUAGAUGAGACUUAAUUCUUUCUAGUCAUCUUUCGUUCUAUUUUCACCUUUUGAAUGGUGAACUGUAAAAGACAGGUGGCAAAAGAGGAUAUUAUGGUGGCAGACUAUGAGGGUAAGACACGUGGCAAUGAGGUUUUGGUUUUUCUGUUGGCUGUUUUAGAGAGAAUAGUGGAGUGUCUUGGUGGUAGAAAGAGUCGGGGGUUGUUAGAGGGCAGUAGAAAAUGUCCUCUGCAGGGAUGGCACGUAUCAGAGGGAUAUAUUUUCCUUUUGGGGUAUCUUGAGAAAAGGAAAAAGAAAAGGGGGAAGAGGAUUUUAUAGGGAGGUGAUACGCUGGAUCUCGAGAAGAGCUGAGGAAAAGCUGUGAAACAGAGAGAGUGAGUAGGCUGUGAGAGAGCCAUUGUUGAGAGAGUAAGCAGGCUAUUUUUGAGAAAAAAAGGGAUCAGAUUAGGAGCUCACCAGUUUUGUACUAUGCAUGCUUGUGGAAUCUGAGACCAUUUUUUUAUGUACUUUAUAUCUGGUUCUACUUUGGCUCCUUUGGCUCUGUUUAUGAACAACUUGUGCAUUUCACUUUUUAUGAAUAACUUGAAUAUGGAUCCAUCACUAAAUCUGAUUGUUAAAGAUCAUGCCCCAACUUUCUUUUGAUUCCACCCUAGUGUAGCUCAUUGACAAUCCAUGAAAGAGGGCUAAGAUUCAUUGAUGUUUCGUUUAUUUGUUCGUUUAUGCUCUGCCCCUGUUUUCGUUCUUCCCUAUAUUCCUCUAUUUCUGGUGUCUCUGGGUGAGGAUACAAUAACUUUGGUUAGACAGCCUUUGAGAAGUCUACAUAUUCCUGGUAUCUAUCACCAUUUUGUUGGCGUGUUGGAGAAGCAUUGCAUUGGACCAGGAUGAGAUGGUAAGAGACUUCCAGCUUCGGAGCAAUACCUUUGCUUUCUUGCUGAGUACCAAAGCUGGGACUGGAAAUCUGAUCAGUAAAAAGAAUAGUGAGCAUUUCGGGUUGAAUGAGGGUCCUUCGAGAGUCUACGGAUGAUGGCUACUUGAUUUUGGAGUUGGGGAACGAAUUUUCUCACUACCGAUGAUAUGAGUGUCAUACUAGUUGCAAAACUGAAGAGAAGAUUGGGAUGUGAAAUGUGGGCAAAAUUACAUUUGACUGGCAUGCAUGUUGACAUGGGUAUCAAGUUCCACUGGAGAUCAGGUAGAGGCAAUGGCCUUUCUAGGGGGUUUAAGACAUAAAAUGUGCUUUAAUGGCAUGAGAAUUUCUGGGUCCCUUUCAUCUAGUACUGUUUAUUUGUUAAUUUGGAGACCCAUUUUUGGUUUUGUUGAGGGUUCUGAGUUGAAGUUGGCCUGUGUUCAUGUGCAAAGUUUUGUUGGUAGAAUGUUAAAAUCAUUAAGAGUGACAGUUUACGCCGAGCCACAUUGUUCAGAAAGGAGAAGUGGUUUUGAAGGAAUCAAUCCCAUGAAGUAGUUGCCUCCAACAAAGAUUUGAGCAUUUUGAAGUCUGGGGCUCUGAGCAUUGUACACUUGAAGAAUGGCUUCAACAGGGCUCUGAGCAUUCUUGGGUUGCUAAAGUUGCCUCGGUUCAUUCCAGGUGCUAAUCAAAAUGAUAGUUAAAUUAAAGAAUAUAAAUAACAUAAUGAUUUCCAAGCUAAUGAGUGUUGUAUGCUUAUAUCAUGCUCUAUCUAUCAUCUUUUCUCCACCAUAACGGUGUUUUAUUUUAUUGGUUUUUUGCUGGUACUGGCAGAUGUUUGUGGGUGGUGGGAGUAUGCUAGAGCUGAUCACAUGGGGGCAAUUUCUUUUGUUGUUUGUUUCUCUACCAAAUUCAAAGUGUUAAGCACACAAGGGUAACAUGGAGAUGUUUAUAUCCUCUGUAGUCUGUUAUGUAAAAGAGUCUGAACAGAGCAUAUGAUUGAGAUGCGGCUUCGCCAACAAAAUUAGUAUGGUGUUUUAUUUCUUUUCACAGAGCACCCACCUGCCCAUUCCCUGAUCGUGAGUGUUAUUCCUCUUCCUCGGGAUGUCUCGUAAAGGCCCUUCAGUCUAUGGCGUUGAAGACGGCAUUCUCAGUUUGGAGAGACUCCCAAUUUGCUGAUUGUAGUUAAGAGUUUCACUACAUAUAUAGUUCUAUCAUUCAACAUACUUAUUCCGGAGUUAGGAAUGUAAGGGAUAAGAGCUUAUUUCAGACUAUUUAUUCAUGUUCUGUUUAAGAUUUUUAAAAGAAAAACGAAUGUGUGGCAAGUGAACCGCUUGAAUAUCUCCCUCAACACAAAUCAGGGAGUUCGACAUUCCUCAAAACAAGUACAUUAUCUCAGUUUGCAGUAAACAAGGAAUUUACCGUCCAUAGACAAAUAAACCAACGGCUGGCAUGUGCCUCUUCAAGUAGUCUAGGCUCUGCAUUGAACCAUUCCACACUUAGAACUUUUGAGAAAUCAAUAGUUGAGCGACAUUCAAAUGACUUUAAAGCACUCGAGCUUAUUCUUAUCAUGAAAAAGAUGAAACAAAGAGAAAUUUAGUUUGCUCUCAACUGCAAUCCAUAUCUUCUGGAAAGGAUGAAAUUCAUUAUGGGCAUCUCGAAAGCAUAUUUCAAGGCUGAGAAAUUCACGAGUCAAUUAGGAAACACAGGGCAUGUCAAGAUGCUACAGCCAUUUGCGUUUUCUUGCUUUAACAUGGGAACAAACAGAAAAUGAUGUAACAGUUCAAGAUGAAUCAGAAAAGAUAGUCUUGAAAGCAUCAAGUUUUCCCAAAAGGGGGGGGGGGGCGAGUUCAGACCAUGAAGUGUAGGAGAAAUUGGUUGGAUGCAUAUCUAACAAGAAGACAUGUUUCUAAGGCAUAUAACCAAUUUUCCAGAUUCUGAUUUUCAUGAUUUUGAUAUCGACGAAACUGAGAGUUCCUUUGGGGAUGACCAAUUUUAGUCUGCAUAUGAUAACAAAUGAUGAGAGAAGCCUCCUCAAUGUAAGCAGCUCAGGGCCUUCUAAGGCAUUUCCCUACGUAUAUUCCAGCAGAUAAGGACGAAAUUAAUAUUAGGACUUAUGUCUAUGGAGAUGUGGAGCUAGUCGAAAUUGCAAUUCAGCUUUCAAAACGUUAUUCUAAUAGGAUGCUUCCAAAGAUCCAUGAAGCUGGAAAUUUGAGACAACAACUCUUUUGCUGUUAACAUUUGGAACCAAAUCGUAACAGAUAUUGGUAUUGCAAUAACCAAGGAGCACAUUGACCAUCUUGGAAUCAUAACUCGAGAUGGUGCUCCAUGAUUCUUAAAGGCUUUUGAGGAAAUUAAAGGUUUCGAGGUUGAUGGUGUACUGAUUGGUCAACUUGUUGGCAUAUUUCCUACAUUUCAGGUACAGCGAAGGUGGCAGUGCCAAUGAAGGGCUCAUGAUCUGAUGAGCAAUAUAUCUGAAAGGCAUCAGGAUCUUCACCCCAUUCUGCAAGUGAUACAUGCACGAGCAACAGGCUUGAGAUCAUUAUUGAUCCUUAUCCGAAAAGAUGCUAGUUAGGGAGCAGUUCUGGAAGGAAAAGAAUUCCUACAAGCUCCACAAAAUGAGAACCUUAUUCUCAUGAUGACAAAACAACAGUAAAAAAAAAAAGUUUGACUAGGAAUUCAUAAUGAACAGGGGAACACAAAAGUUGAGUUACAAUGUUAAGGCGAAUGAGUGGCAGCACAAGCAGUUUGAUCCAAAAUCAAACUUUACUGCUGCACCACAAGCUGUUGUUGUUGAUGAACAAGGAUUAAAAUAUCGAAAAUUAGGGGCAACAGACCAUAUGACAGGUUGUGCAAGUCUUUUUUCUACUUAUACUCCAGGUUCUGGACACAUUAAAGUCAAAAUUGCAUAUGGAUCUCUCGCUACUGUUGCAGGGGCUGGUACUAUAAUUUUAGGGCCUCAUAUAACCUUUUUCAAUGUUCUCCAUGUCCCAAAAUUAUCAUGUAAUUUGUUGUCUAAGGAAGAGCAUUGGCAGUGCUAAGGAAUAUGGAGGGCUCCACAACUUCAAGGAAAUACCAAGGAUGGACAAGUUCUAUCAGUUGGUUGUGAAUCUUCCUAGACGACUAAGCAACAAGAAAUAGUGUUGUGGCACUUUAGGUUAGGUCAUCUUAAUUUUCAAUAUUUGAAGCAUUUGUUUCCUUCUUUUUUCAAUAAUAAAGAUGUUUUUUAGUGUGAUAUUUAUCAAUUUGCUAAACAUCAACGGUCCAAUUAUCCUUCUCAACCCUAUAAAGCAUCCAAACCUUAUGUAAUGAUACACACUGCAUAUGGGGUCCCUCACGUCUACAAAGUCUAAUUGGGAAAAGGUGGUUUAUCAUUUUUAUUGAUGAUCACACGAACUACAUGGCUAUGUCCUUGAAAGAAAAAAAUGAGGCAAAACCAACAUUCAAAAUUUUUUAUCAAAUGAUUCAAAACCAAUCUAAUGUUAAAAUCCAAGUCUUAUAAACGAAUAACAAGAAAGAGUAUUUUAACACCAUUUUGAGGAAUUAUUUGUUAGAAAAAAGGAUUAUGUAUCAAAGUUCGUGUAUAGAUACACCUCGACAAAAUGGAGUGGUCAAGUGAAAGAAUAGACAUUAUUGGAAGUAGCCCGAUCCAUUAUGCUUACCAUAAAUGUAUCAAAACAAUUUUGGGGAGAUUCCAUUCUUACAACUUAUUAAGAUAAUAAAUAAUAUGUCUACCUGAGUUUUCAAUUACCAAACACCAUUAAAAUCAUUCCUUCAAUUAUAUGCACAAACUCAGUCCAUUAACCAACUUUCCCUUAAGGUUUUCGGUUGUAGAGCCUUUGUUCAUGUUCUUGACCAAAAUCAAACCAAACUAGAUCCUACAGCAUUAGCUAUAUCUUCCUUGGUUAUUCAGCCACACAAAAGGGGUAUCGUCAUUGCUCUCCUAAAAAACAAAAAUAUUGUCACUUGGAUGUUACAUUUUUUUUAGAACCAACCUUUUUCUCCAAAAAUUCACUUCAGGGGCAGAAUAUAGAUAAAGAGAAUUUUUGGGAAUUAUCAUUGCUAAGCCUACUACUAGAACAACCACCAAACCUGUUGCCUAACCCGACUAUAUCACCAAAACAACUAUUAAACUAGCCUUCUUACCCACCUGAACAGCCAGGUCACCUCUUUAACCAACUAGUGUUUGAAACUAACAAACCAAAAACAACCGAACCCAACUAGACUUGGGGUGUCAAUGAUAAGUCCCAAACUCAGUCUUUGCGAAGAUACUUUGUUUUCUCUUCGGGUGAGAAACGAACCACAAUUUGAUUGCAAAGAAAAAUACCUCCUAUUAACGAAAGCAUUGGCUGCUUUAAAUAAGCAAAGCCACGUACAAACGAACCGAAAUAAAAAGGAAACUAACAGCUAACAAAUGGAACCCAAUACACUUAAAACAGAGCAUAACAAACGGAAAUAAAAUGACUAUUCAAGCAAAGACUGGUUAGUCUCCCAUGUGGCGUCCUCGACUGGUAGAUGCUUCCACUGGAUAAGAUUUUCUUCUUCAAAUUUAUUCCCCCGUUUGACCUAGCGAGUGUCCAGUAUAUGCUGAGGUUCGAGUAUAACAGCCCCUUCAUCAUUAACUGGCGGCAGCUCUUGUGAAGGUUUUGCAAGUUCUCCCACGAAAUUUUUUAAGAGUGACACGUGGAAGACAGGAUGAAUGUGGGCUCCUUCCGGCAGUUGAAGUUUAUAUGCGACGACCCCAAUCUUUUGUAUCAUUGGAUAUGGUCUGUAGAAGCGACUAGCUAGCUUCUGGUGGGCUCGUUUGAAGGCUGUCUGUUGUCUGUAGGGGUGCAAUUUAAGAAACACUAGAUCACCAACUUCGAAGAAAACAUCCCGACGUUUUUGAUCCGCAAUCUACUUCAUGCGAUUAAUGGAAGUCUCUAGAUUAAUUUUGAGUUGACGCAACAGUUCAUCUCUAGCCUCUAGACUUUGGUCGACUUCAUGCACCGAAGACAUCCCAUUAUGGUAAAUGGGAAUUUGAGGAGGUAAUAUAGUGCCUGAAAAGGGGUCAUUCCUGUGGACGCAUGAUACGUUGUAUUGUACGAGAGCUCAGCCCAUGGAAGGUAGUUGCUCCACUUGCGUGGCCAUUGAUGAACCAUACUCCGGAGGCAUUGCUUAACACAACGAUUGACAACUUCUGUUUGUCCGUCCGUCUGUGGGUGGUAGGCGGAGCUAAGUUGUAGCUUGGUUCCCAACAUUUGAAAGAACUCCUGCCAGAAUUUGCUGAUAAAGAUGGGGUCCCGGUCGCUGAUGAUAGACUUGGGUAGUCCAUGCAAUUUAAUAACUCCUUCUACAAACCUUUCAGCCACGAUUUUAGCAGUAAAAGAAUGAGUUAAGGCUAGAAAAUGUGCAGACUUACUCAAACGGUCGACAACUACUAAGAUUGUGUCCUUCCCGUGGAUGUCGGUAGUCCUUCAAUGAAGUCUAAGGUGAUGUCGUCCCACACUUGACAUGGAAUGGGUAACGGCUGCAGGAGCCCAGUUGGAGGCAUUGUUUCAGACUUAACCUUCUGGCAAGUUUCACAUUUCUUGAUAUACUAUUGCACCGUCUGGUACAUUUUUGGCCAGUAGAAUUGUUGGGCCAAUUUCUUGAAUGUCCGCAAGACCCCAGAAUUCCUCCUAUUUUUGUAUCGUGCAUUUCAUGGAGUAGUUUCGUCUGUAAGGCAGCAUGAGAAGGAAUGAUGACUCUCCCUUUAAAGAAGAGCAGCCCAUUACGCCAUGCAUACGGCCCUUCUAGUUGAGCAUUAGCCAGUCGAGUUAGAGAUUGGACGUAAGAGUCUCCUUCAUAAGCUUUUUUAAUCUCAUCCCAUAUGGUCACCAUUGGCACAUGAAGAUGGAGAAGAAUUGGACUACUAGACUUGCGUGAGACGGCAUCCGCUACUAAAUUCUCGUGGCCUAGGCGGUAAAUAAUCUCAUAGUCAUAGCCCAUUAGCUUGACUACCCAUUUUUGCUGUUCUGGCGUAGAUACAUGCUGCUCCAAGAAAUAUUUCAAGCUACGCUGGUCGGUGAGAAUGAAGAAUUUUUUUCCCAGUAGAUAAGGACGCCAUAGGCGUAUGGCCUCCACAAUUGCAAGCAUUUCCUUGGCGUAGGUUGACCAAGAUUUUUUUGUAACCCCCAAUGCUCGACUCAUAAAUGCUAUAGGCCUGCCUUGCUAUGAUAAAACUGCACCAAUCCCCUCCCCAGAUGCAUCAGUUUCAAUGGUGAAGGAGUCAUUGAAAUUAGGCAUAGCUAAUGUUGGAGUGGUUGUCAUUGCUUGUUUGAGAGCUAGAAAGGCUGCUUCGGCUUCAUCAUUCCAGCCAAAUUUUCCCUUUUUGAGCAAGUGGGUUAGGGGUCACGCUAUGAUGCCGUAGUUUUGAACAAACUUUCUGUAAUACCCUGUUAAGCCUAAAAAACCACGUAACUCAGAAAUAUUAGUGGGGUGUGGCCAUGCGACCAUGGUUGCAAUUUUAUUGUUAUCAACCUUCACUCCUUGAUGUGUGACAAUGUGCCCCAAGUACUCCAGUUCCUGUUGGCCAAACACGCAUUUGCCUGCCUUGGCAAAAAAUUGGUGUUGUCACAAGGUCUCCAAUGUUUGUUUAACAUGCACCAUAUGCUCAUCCUAAGUGGGACUAUACACCAAAAUAUCAUAAAAAAAGACCAAAAUGAAUUUUCGAAGGUAAGGUCGAAAUAUUAAGUUCAUGAUGGCCUGAAAUGUCGAGGGUGCGUUACAAAGGCCAAAAGGCAUUACGAGAUAUUCGUAAUGGCCAUUAUGAGUACGGAAAGCAGUUUUAAUAACAUCGGAAGGAUUUACUCUUACUUGAUGAUAGCCGGCCCUCAGAUCAAAUUUGGUGAAGUAAGUGGCGCCAUAUAAUUCUUCCAACAUAUCAUCCACUGUUGGAAUGGGAAAACGAUCCUUGAUGGUGGCAACGCUAAGUGUACGGUAGUUUGUACAAAAUCGCCAACUGCCAUUUUUUUUCUUCACUAGUAGUACCAGCGACGAGAAAGGACUGGUGCUCGGACGAAUGAGCCCCGAAUCUAACAUUUCUUGGACCUGUUUCUCGAUUUCUGCUUUCUGAAAGUGGGCAUACCUAUACGGCCGGACGUUAAUUGGCUCGGUUCCCUCCUUUAGCGUAAUACAAUGAUCCACUUCAUGUGCAGGUGGUAAACUUGAGGGCUCUUGGAACACGUCCUCAUACUCUUUCAACAACCUCUGCAUACUUUGCUGGGUAACUUUAGUUGGUGCAUCAGCUGGUGCGGUUUCCAUGGUUGGUUGGAAACACACAGCAAAUAGCGCAUGUCCUUGGCGAAACUCCUUCAAUAUUUCUUCUGGUGAAGCGGCCUGAAUGGUUUGCACGUCCACUCCUUGCAGCCUUCGGUCUUGAUUUUCCCAAAUAAAAUCCAUGGUCAACUGUUUCCAGUUACAAACCACAGAUCCCAGCAUUUCAAGCCAUUGAACGCCGAGGAUAAGAUCAAGACCUGAUAAGGGCAGAGAGAAAAGGGUGAGGUAGAAUUUAGUACCUUGUAAUUCUACCCGUACCUUAUCGUAACACCCCUGACACGUUAGUCUUUCUUCGUUGGCCACCUGGACAGGGAAUGUCUCUGUAGGUAUGACUGGCAACCUAAGCAUGUUUGCCAAACGGUUGCUGAUGAAGUUGUGUGUCGAUCCAUAACCCACAGGUCCCAUGUUUCUUAUGGGAACCAACAAGGAGCGAAUUGAGCACUUGGAGACUAGACUCGGUGUAGUUCAGGAAGAACUACAGCGAAUGGAGUUGGGUAUGAUCGACAAACUCCACCAUCCGGAGGAAGCUCUCAAUCGACUUUCGAACGUGUUGCUCGCUAAUCUGGAGUCCUUAAAUCAGGCAAUUACCACCAAGAAAACCAAAAUGGAGGUCGGUAGAUCGUCUCGUCCAAAUCAGCCAAGCUAGAAUUUCCACGCUUCUCUGGAAACGAUCCAAUGAAGUGGUUCAAUCGGGUGGAACAAUUCUUUGACUACCAGGGCACUGCAGAAAACCAAAAGGUUCCUAUGGCUGCUUACCACCUUGAAGGGGAGGCCAACCAAUGGUGGCAAUGGCUUCGCAGGAUGUUAAAGGAAGGACACGUGAUUUCGUGGGGGAAAUUUGAAGAGGAAUUAUGGGCUCGCUUCGGACCAUCAGGAUGCGAAGACUUUGAUGAAGCUCUCUUAAGGAUCAAGCAACUGGGAACUUUGAGGGACUAAUAGCGCGAGUUUGAAAAGCUUGGCAAUAGGGUCCAAGAAUGAACUCAGAAAGCAUUGGUGGGGACAUUCAUGGGUGGCUUGAAGGCUGAAAUAGCGGAUGGGAUUUGGAUGUUUAAGCCACAGUCGCUCAAAGAGGUCAUUAACUUGGCACGGAUGAGGGACGAUCAACUCGCAUGGCAAAGAAGGUUCAUGCGGUUACCACCUGUGAGAGCUCCGAUAGCUCUUCCACAAGCCACUCGUGUAGCUCUUGCUACACCUGCAAAACCCAUUAAGCUUUUGUCUUGGGAAGAAAUGCAGAGGAAGAGAGCACAAGGUCUUUGUUUCAACUGCAAUGAACGUUUUACAGCAAGCCAUAGAUGUCAAAAACCACAACUCUUACUCUUGGAGGGGCAUGCAGGUAACGUGUAUUGUGGGGACGGUACUGAUCAACAAACGUUGGAAGAUGACCAUGGUGGAGAGGCAGCAGAGGUGCAGGAACAUGAACGUAAACCAGAGAUCACCUUGCACACACUAACAGGAUGGACAACACUGAAAACCAUGCGGGUAACAGCGAAAAUGGGUCGCCAUGAAGUAAUGGUUUUGAUUGACAAUGGAUCGACACACAACUUCAUCAGCAACCGUUUGGCAAACAUGCUCAGGUUGCCAGUCAUACCUACGGAGACAUUCCCUGUCCGGGUGGCCAACGGAGAAAGACUAAGGUGUCAGGGGCGUUACGAUAAGGUACGGGUAGAAUUACAAGGUACCGAAUUCUACCUUACCCUUUUCUCUCUGCCCUUAUCAGGUCUUGAUCUUGUCCUCGGCGUUCAAUGGCUUGAAAUGCUGGGAUCUGUGGUUUGUAACUGGAAACAGUUGACCAUGGAUUUUAUUUGGGAUUUGGUUUAUGGCCCUUCUCAGAUCGUCGUGGCCUAUCAAAGUUCCCAGUUGCUUGAUCCUUGAGAGAGCUUCAUCAAAGUCUUCGCAUCUUGAUGGUCCGAAGAGAGCCCAUAAUUCCUCUUCGAAUUUCCCCCACGAAAUCACAUGUCUUUCUUCCUUUAACGUCUUGUAAAGCCACUGCCACCAUUGGUUGGCCUCCCCUUCAAGGUGGUAAGCAGCCAUGGGAACCUUUUGGUUUUCUGCAGUGCCCUGGUAGUCAAAGAAUUGUUCCACCCGAUUGAACCCCUCUGUUGGAUCGUCUCCAGAGAGGCGUGGAAAUUCUAGCUUGGCUGAUUUGGACGAGACGAUCUGCCGACUUCCAUUUUGGUUUUCUUGGUGGUAAUUGCCCUGAUUUGAGGACUCCGGAUUAGCGAGCAACACGUUCAAAAGUCGAUUGAGAGCUUCCUCCAGAUGGUGGAGUUUGUCGAUCAUACCCAACUCCAUUCGUUGUAGUUCUUCUUGAACUACACCGAGUCCAGUCUCCAAGUGCUCAAUUCGCUCAUUGUUGGUUCCCAUAAGAAACCUGGCUCUGAUACCAAUGAUAGGUCCCAAACUCAGUCUUUGCUAAGAUACUUUGUUUUCUCUUUGGGUGAGAAACGAACCACAAUUUGAUUGCAAAGAAAAAUACCUCCUAUUAACGAAAGCAUUGGCUGCUUUCAAUAAGCAAAGCCACGUACAAAUGAACUGAAAUAAAAGGGAAACUAAUAGCUAACAAAUGGAACCCAAUACGCUUAAAACAGAGCAUAACAAACGGAAAUAAAAUGACAGAAAACUCUCAACUACAGAUGACCCAUUUCCUUCUGCACGUAGGACUCUCAACUGCCACGACCUAGUCCAAGUCCAACGGUCCUUCACGUUCCAACUCAUCCCAAAUAUUUGGGAUUUGGUUUAUGGCCCCUCUCAGAUCGUCGUGGCUUAUCAGUCAACAACAAAAACAGAUUCAAGGCCAGGAGAGAUUCACUACAAUAACCAAAACUUCAUGUCUAUUCAAGGAGGAGUAACUCAAGAAUAGUAGAAACCAAAAUGGAUCAAUAGUGCUGUCAAGAAUAAGAACAAACUGUCCUUCCUGAGGUAAGUGACCUUAAUUUGCCUAUAGCCAUGAGAAAAGGUGUUUGACCAUGUACUCAACACCCUCUCACCUCAAUUUCAAGCUUUUAUUUCCAAACUUUUAGGAGAAGAAGUUCUGGAACAUAUUUAUAAGGCUCUACAAGAUCCUCGAUGGAGAGAAGCUUUUAUGGAGGAAAUGAAAGCUUUGGAAAAAAACCGAACUUAGGAUUUAGCGGACAAGCCCAGAAGAAAUAUAUUUGUUGGAUGCAAAUGGUGUUUGCUAUUAAAUAAAAGUCAGAUGGGUUCAUUGAAAAGUACAAGGCAAGGUUGGUAACUAAGGGAUUUGCACAAACUUAUGGUAUUGACUAUCAAGAAACAUUUACCCUAAUUGCCAAACUUAACAUCAUAACAGUUCUUUUAUCCCUUGCUGCAAAUCUGGAUUGGUGAAUUCAAUAACUAUAUAUCAAAAAUGUUUUUAUGAAUGGAGACCUAGAAGAAGUGUACAUGGAAUUGUCUCCUAGAUUCGAUCAAAGAAGGAAGGUAAGGAAAGUCUACAAGAUUAGAAAAUAUCUCUAUGGGUUGAAACAGUCUUUUUAUGCAUGGUUCAAGAGAUUUACCAAUGCCAUCAUGAGGCAUGGAUAUACAUAGGAUCAAUCUAAUCAUACCUUAUUUUAUCAUCACAAUGAUGGUAAGGUCACUAUUCUCAUGGUCUAUGUGGAUGAUAUCAUAGUGAUUGGGAAAUGAUUUAAUGGAGAAUGAACAAUUAAAAGGGAAGCUAGUUGCUUAGUUUGAAACCAAAGAUCUAAGACCUCUACGUUACUUUCUAGGGAUGGAAAUGGCAAGGAAAAAGAGUGAAAUAUCAGUUUCCUAAAGAAAAUAUAUUCUAGAUCUCUUGAAGGAAACCGAGAUGCUAGGAUGUAAACCUUUGGAUGCUACAAUGGAUUCGGUAAAGGAGAUUGAAGGAUAAAAAGAAAGCACACCUGUCAACACUGAAAGAUAUCAAUGUCUAGUAGGGAUGCUAAUUUAUCUUUCCCACACUAGACUAGACAUCGCUUUUGCAAUAAGAAUUGUGAAUCAAUACAUGCAUGCUCUUUACAAAGGACAUAUGGAAUCCAUGUAUAGAAUUCUAAAGUAUCUCAAAGGAUCUAUAGGGAAAGGAUUAUUCUUUAGAAAAAAAUGAAACAAGAAGCAUUGAAGGGUUCACGGAUGCUAACUAGGCAAGUACCAUAGAAGAUCAAAGAUCAACUUCAGGCUAUUGCACCUUGGGGCAAGUACAAUAUAUUAACCCAUUCCACAUCAGAACUCAUAAGCCAAAGUCCAAGCUUGGUUCAAAAACUUAGGCCUUGAGAUUGAGUGUUGCAACAUCUUGGACAUGGGCAUCUAUCCCCACUUGGAAAUUAUUGCUCACCAUAUUUGUGUUAUAAAAGUCUAUAAUGGUUUUGGAAAUUCUAUCCUUAUUCUCCAUUUUUUUAUUAGCAAAUAAAAUAAAAAUUAUAUUUACAUUCAAGCAAGGAUUUACUAAUGUCAGUAAAUAUACAUAUCGAUUUGAUAGGUUGGUGGGUCAUUGAAUCAAGUUAAGUCAGAUCAGAUUUAGCUAGCCAACAAGUUAUAAUCACAUUUUACAUCAAUUUAAUUAGGAAUUUCCUUUCAAAAUAAAAUCACAUUAAAUCAGCUUACUACCUCUUGUAGUUGAUAUACAUUUAACAAGGAAUUGAUUGUCAAAUUUAUAAAAGUCAUAUUUUAAUAGGCUAAUAUUUGGAAUUAUAAUAGUUUCAUUAAACAUGACAACUUUUAAUUUAAGAGAAAAAUGCCUCCAUUAGAGAUUAAAGAGGAGCUUUUAGUUUCAAAAAAGAAAAUCCAAAAUAGCAUUUGUCUCUCCUUAGUCUUAUGGAAAAUUUUAUUUCAUAGGAGGAAAAGAACUUCUAUGUUUCAAAAUUUGGAAAAAAUAAAAAAUAAAAAGUUACGAUUUAUAAGUUAGUAGAGUAUUUUGAAAUUUUAACUUUUCUAACAUAGUAUUUUAGCUGAGUAAUUCCCAAUACUUUUAUUUUCAAAUUAUUUCUUAUCACUCAAUCACAAAGUCCACAAACUUCAUUUCCUACAAAUGAAAUGAAAAUCAAAAUUAGCAAAAAAAAAAAAAAAAAAAAAAACCAGUAUAUUGGUGUCAUAAAAUAAUAUGUGGAUAUAAUCUUGCUUUAUUUUUGACAAAAUAAUAACUUGAAUAUUUGAUUUGGUUGUUUUGAUGUAGAUCCAAGAAGUGAAGCAUUGUGGACUUGCAUUUUUUCACGUGCGCCCCCACUCAAUCGGUGAGACUCACUUUUAUUUGUGAAAAAUUAUUUUUGAAAAAGUCAGAGUAACCAAUUUGUGGACCUACAUUUUUCACGUGCGCUCCCACUCGAUCGACAAGACUCGCUUUUAUUUUUGAAAAAUUAUUUUUGGAAAAGUCGGAGUCGUCACUUAUUUUAUUUUAUUUUAAAGGGAAAAUAAAAUAAGAAAUAAAACCCUAAAAAAAUGACUCCACAUUUUUGGAAAAGCAUGUCUCGAAAAAUCUAAGUCUAGGUCCGGGGAUCAGGUUAUCUAUUAGGAAGGUACCUCUAAAAGGUAGCAUCUCUCUAAGCCUUACAAAGGUCUCUACUGACUAAUUUAAGGGAAAUGUGGCAAUUAAUUGAUUAAUUGAGGAUACCUAGGUAGGCUAAGGUGAUUUCAAAAAAAUAGCAUGCCAAACAAGAUCAAAUCAUAAUAAAUGAGAGUUAGGAUGCGUACCUGAACCGCUUCUCAAGCGCUAUCAUAAAACAUCAAAGUCAAUAUAGAAAUAUAACACACGACAUGUAUUUAAUCAUAGCAAAUCAAGCAUACAUCCAAGAACCUAAGGAUCAUAUCAAACAUAAAUAAGGCUCAUAACAACAUGCAUGUUCAUGAAAUUCUGAAAAGUAAAGAUAGAGAGCGCACCUAGAUAACAUGCAUAAUUUAUAAGAUUCCUCCAAAAAUGUAAUAAUGGUUAGGACAAGUAUAAAUUAUAUAAUAUCUCUAUUAUAUCUAAUAUAUAGUACCAAAUCCAAAAGUGAACCAAGGUAAGUCAAAUGACUCCAAAAGCAGAUAACAAAUUCCAACAAGUACUGAGUCAUCAACAUGCAUAUAGUAAAGGGAGCAUCACAAAAAAAUUGCUAAAAAAAAUGUCUUGGAGUGGAAUUUAAUCACAAAAAAUUUCCAUAAGCAACUCCUACAUAUCUAGAACAAGAUACCAAAAUCAAAACACUCAUUCGAAUGACAAAUUGCAACAAAGACACCCAAAAAUUCCAAAAGGUCCAAAUUAGGUAAAAAGAAAAUAAUGACAUGCAUAAACGAAUUUUUUAAAGAAUUAUAAGACAUCACAUAAAUUCUUACAAAAAAUCACAUACAUCAUUCAAGGUGUUUAUAUCACAAAGAAAAUAAAUCCAGGGUUGGGUGGUACUAAAAAAUAUUUUAAAAACACUCAAGCUAAUCAAAUGUCCAUAUUCCAUCAUGCACAGUAGGUACAAAUUUGAAAAGUCAUAUCUCCCUCAACGAGGCAUGUGUUUUAAUAUUUUAUGUGUCUAAGAUCAAUUUCAAGAAGCCUAGAAUUGAGAAAAAAAUAUUGAAUCAAAUUUAAAAAAUCGCCUGGUAUUUUAUUUUUUCAAAAAGUUCUCGAGUGUCCAGAACUGGGUGAAAACAAAGCCCCCCUAAAGACUCAUUCAUAUUUUCUAUUCCAGAAUGACUUUCUAACUCAAAUGAAAGUUUAAAUUCAAGUUCAAGAAGUGAGGAAAGUCAUGCAAGUUUUGGAAAACUUUUAAAAACAUUCUAAAGUUUCUAAAAUGAAUUUUAAAUCUAAAGGGUCAGUGGCUAUAAGUGAAAAUUUGUAGCAAGGAAGAGUUUUGAAAAAUUUUCUUAUGUAGGGGUUUCACCAAUUCCCUAAUUGAUAUAUACAAAUCCAACCUAAAAUCAUCCCAUUUGUUUGGGACCACAAGCUUGAAUUCAUAUUCCGUUCAAAACCAGGAUAUUUUUUUGAAAACUGAGAAAGAUGCAAAAUGAUCAAAACAUGGUUGCAUAUUUUUAAAGAAAAUGGGAUUUUGAUUCUGAAGACUGUAUAUUUUUUGCACAAAAUUUUCAAAGGUAUCUUUUGAGAAAAGCAUUUGACUUUAAAGUAAAGGGAAUUAGUAUGAAAACAACAAAACAUAAGAAAUGAAAUACCGAGCAAAACAGAAGAAAACGAAUUCACAAAGUGAAAUUUUUUACAAUCUGAGUAAACCAAAGUGGUGAGAAUGGAGGCCAAUCUUCACUUUUUUUUUUAUGACCUAUGAAAAUAAAAUUAAAGAUAAAAUUAUUAUAGCAACCUACCAGAGAUGUUUAGAUCAAGUAAACUAACAUUUUAACAAAUCCAACUUUUAAUUUGGCACCAAAAAUUACAUGCUAACGUUUUAAAAAAUCUAACUUUCAUUCUAUUACUAAGGAGUAUGGAAAACAAGUGUCUAAAGAAAUUCUAUCUUUUAAAUGAUCACCAAGAAUAAAAAAAAAAAAAAAAAGACUUCAAGAAAAUCUUAAACUAGCAUAGAUAAUCAAGAACUAAUUGUUGGAAUUUUAAAUGCAUCUAAACUUAAGAUAAAUCAAUCAAGCGCUUAGAAAUGAGUUUUAAAAUGAAACUAAUAAUACGGGAUAUUCACAAUUAUCAACUUAGUUCCAAAGAAAUAGUAAACGUCAUCGGGAUCACUAAAACAACAUCUAAUAAUCUAAAGAACAACAUAUAAUGGCAUAAAUCAUCAAAAAACAGUAACUUAUUGCUUAGAAUCGAAUGUAAAUUAACAUGGGUUUUUAAAAUUAACUACUAAGGAUUCAGGGAAUAAACGAAACAUCAUGGAUCAAUAUAGAAAAGAAUUCAUAAGUAUGCACUAAGGGGAUCAAAAGAUUUCAUGAGUGUUGAUUUAAAAAAAAAACAGUUGAUUCCUAAUUCAAUAGUUCUAAUGAAUUUUAUUUAUAAAAGAAAGUUUUGAUUAGUUUAAAUAAUAAAAUGCUUUAAUUUCAUUUAAGGAAAAUACUUUUAAAAAGUUUAUUUACACGAAAAUAAAUGUUAUUACUUUUGUAAAAGAAAUAUUUCAUGAGUAUUAAAAAAAUAAUUGAUUUCCUAUUCGAUAGUUUUAAUGAAUUUUAUUUAUAAAAGGAAGUUUUGAUUAAUUUAAAUAAAAAAGGCUUUAAUUUUAUUUAAGGAAAAUAUUUUUAAAAAGUUUAUUUACACGAAAAUAAAUGUUAUUACAUUUGUAAAAGAAAUAUUUCAUGAGUAUUAAAAAAAUAAUUGAUUUCCUAUUCGAUAGUUUUAAUGAAUUUUAUUUAUAAAAGGAAGUUUUGAUUAAUUUAAAUAAAAAAAGGCUUUAAUUUCAUUUAAGGAAAAUACUUUUAAAAGUUUAUUUACAAAAAAAUACCAUAAUUCUAUUUUAUUUACAAAGGAAAAAAAAUUCAUAGGAAAGAAAUGAACAAAAAUAAUAAUAAUGAUAAAUUUUAUCUAUAAUUAUAAUAAUAAUAAUAAUAAUAAUAAUAAUAAUAAUAAAACCUCAUAAAAAAAGAAAAGAAAAUUAUCUCACCAUUUUUAAAAAUAUUUUAUAAAUGUGAAAAAAAUAUAUUUUAUAAUUUUAUUUAAAUUGUGUACGAUAUUUAGAAAGAGAUAGGAUUGUAAAGUAUUGGAAUAGGAUUUUUUUUUUUAAAUAGGAAAAUCUUUCGUGGAGGAUGAUUGGCUAUUGUGCGUCACCAUUGUUUUCAUUUUUUUUUUUUUUUUAAUGUAAUUUCCGGGGACUCAUUAGAAUAUGACCACAUAUGGAACCGUACUAGCGGGAAGGCCGACAUCCUCAAGCCUAGGGUGUACUUCCUUCGCCAAGGAGCGAUUUAGAUUAAGCCUUGGCACACGCCAGCCAUGGAAGGAGAUGGUCCAACUCCGGUCACUCUCCAUUCCGACCAACGCUACUGGAGCAUUCCAGAAAAUCCAGAACCCACGCUGCCUACUUUCGAAUAAACUACAUCAUCGUCAUUCUCUUCAUCUUCUUCAUCGCGGUAUCCAUUCAGAUCAAGCCUUGGCACACGCCAUCCAUGGAAGGAGAUGGUCCAACUUCGGUCACUCUCCAUUCCGACUAACGCUGCUGAAGCAUUCCAAAAAAUCCAGAACCCAUACUGCUUUCUUUCGAAUAAACUACAUCAUCGUCAUUCUCUUCAUCCUCUUCGCCACGGUAUCCAUACCCAUCCCCAAGUCCUUCACCAUAUACUCCGCAUAACCACUUGGUCUAACCUCUCCAUCAUCUUCUUCCCGAACAACUCCAUCGCUUUUGAUCCUGCACGCACUAACACUCUAUAUUGCGCCUCCAUCUCCACUACCAACCUGCACCAUUAUUCUUCCACUCAGUCGAAACGGCCCAUUGCACCACCCUCAUAAUCUCAUCUCGACACCACCAUGGAUGGUCAUCACCAUCCUCCAUCGGUCAAAGUCAAUCAUCGUUGUCAUACCUGUUGUGCACCAAUGUUCUCCUUCACCACUCUCAUCUUCACAACUCGCCACUUCCUUUUCCUAUCUUUAUUCUCGUCAACAUCACAAAAUCAUUCAUUUUCACCCUUUAGCCUCGUGCAAAUGCCCACAACAUAUCAUGCUCGCUUCAAUUCCGUCAUAAUCGAUAGCAUAAUUCCCAUCAUAGCCGGCCAUGAUCUCAUUCCAUUCAUUUACUCAUAUAAAUAAGAAAAAAUAAAAAAAUAAAAAAUAAAACAUACGAAGGACAUCAUUCAAAUCAUAGAAGACCAUAUAUUCACAUUCGUUUGCAUUUUGAAUCAAACAAAACAUUGUCGAAGAACACUAACCUUGCCUGAAGAAUGGUGUGGCAUGAUGAAGAUCCUUCCUCUUCUCAAUGGUGCGGUUCCUCUGGAAAAUCUCUUGAUGAUGAGGUUGCCUCUUCUCAAUCGUCCAUCUUCCCUCUUCUAUCCACUUUUUUCACUUUGUGCAGCUGUUCUAAAAAAAGAUCUCUCCAGCACACUUGCCAUCCUUCGCUACUCUUUCCGCUCAUUUUUCUUUCUUUUUUAGUGCUUUUCACAACCAUGGUAAUGGAAGGAACAACAGAAACAAUCCACCUUCCCCCUUUCGGAUCACCUUCCCUUUUAUCGUGUCUCUCUUUCAUUUUCUUUCUUAAUCCAUUCUCCAUCAUCUAGUUAGCUUAUCUGCAGCCACGGUGAUGGAAAAAAAAAUGGCAGAAAAGGUUUCCUUCUCCUCUUUCAAUUACUCUCCAUCCCCUCAAAUUUUCCUUUUUUUUCUUUGCUUUUCCUUUUCUCUCUUCUUCUCUUUCUUAAUUUUUUUCUUUUUAUAGGGCACGUGGGAUCCAUGCAAAACAAAUAAUAAAUAAAUAAAUAAAAAGAGAUAGGAAAAUAAAAAUACCAAUAAAAGAAAAUAAAGAUUAGAAUAAUAAAAAAAAACUUAUAACUAAAAAUUAAAAAUCCAUAAUAUGCAAUUUUAAAGGAAAUUAAAAAUAUAGAUCACAUGCAAAACUAAAAUGAAUUAUCAACUCAAACAACUUUCUAUCAAAACAAAUUAAUAAAUGGAUAAAUAAAAACAAAAUGAAUAUGAUUAUUAAGCUCAUGUAAUUUCCUAAAAGUAAAUAAAUAAAUGAACAAAACUAAUAAAUUGGGAGAGAUAAAAAAACAAAAAACAAAAUCAAGCACCUACAAGCCGUACGAGCCAUCUAUCCAUGCAAAAAAUAAUUUGAAUGUGCCUAAGUCUAAACUAGGGCUACCAAGAGUCACAAUGGAGUUAGAUAAUUCCCUCAACCAAAGUCCCCAAGGUGACUUAGAAAAGAUAGGCUACACGAGUAGUAAUGGGCAGCCAGGGAACUGUUGUAAAAUACUAGACAAAUACCUUAUAAGACAUUUGUUAAGAUGACAAAAUGAAGGGUCUACAAAUAUGCUCCUCUUCGGUAGAGAUCACGAGUAUAGGGAAUGUGAGUAAAAAUACAAAUAAUGAGCGAAACGAAGUAAACUAUACUGAAAACCUAAAAGAAAAGGACCAGAGAUUUUGUCCUAGCACAUGACGAGAGAAAGCUCGGAACACGAGGUCAUAAUCACAAAAAUGGAACAACUUUAGGCUGUGAACGCAAGACUCUAUGUAGAGAGAAAUGACUUUGGGUCGUGAGCUCAAGGCUCUACUAAAUAGAAAAUAAAUGACUUUGGGUCGAGAGCUCUGGGCUCUAAAUGGAAAAGAUAUGACUCUAGGUCAUAAAUGAAAAUAAUGGUGGCUCUAAACGCCUACGAAAAUUAUGGCUUUGAAUGCCUAUGAAAAUGAUGGCUCUAAAUACCUAUGGAAAUGGUGGUGGCUCUGAACGCCUAUGAAAAUGGUGGCUUUAAACACCUAUGAAAAUGGUGAGUUUGAACGCCUAUGAAAAUGGUGGCUCUCAACGCCUUUGAAAAUGGUGGCUCUCAACGCCUAUGAAAAUGAUGGCUCUGAAUGCCUAUGAACAUGAUGGUCGUUCUGAACGCCUCUGAAAAUGGUGGCUCUAAACGCCUAUGAAAAUGGUGGCUCUGAAUGCCUAUGAAAAUGGUGGCUUUGAACACUUAUGAAAAUGGUGGCUCUGAAUGCUUAUGAAAAUGGUGGCUCUGAGCGCCUAUGAAAAUGAUGACUUUGAACGCCUAUGAAAAUGGUGGCUUUGAAGGCCUAUGGAAAUGAUGGCUCUGAACGCCUAUGAAAAUGGGGAUGGCUAUUCAGGCUUAUGAAAAUGAGGGUGGCUCGUUCGCCUAUGAAAAUGGUGGCUCUGAACGCUUAGUUGUGAGAGAAUGAUGAGGGGAAAAAUGCCUCAGUGUGGUGUGUCAUCACAAAUCUCGAUCCACUUAAAGGGUCUAAAAGAGACUCCAUGAGUCUCAAAAGAUGCUCUGUCGAUGAGUCAGAAUGUUCAAAUCAACUAUAAAAUAACGUCUCACAAUCCGUCUGACUAAAUCGAGGCCUGACAAAGUGUCCUAAUAAUCUGGAUAUCUCUAACUCGAGAUACCUUGUUGGAGGAAUCUGUCGUCAUAUCAAAGGAACGACCCACUGGCGGGUCUCAAGAAAAAUGGUCCAUUGGGGUAAUUGUCACUACCUCAACAUAAUGAUCGAUUGAAAAGUCAUAGGUAAUGAGACAGUCAAAACCUAAAGGUCGGGCUCCUUUGAAGACUCAUCUUGGCAUAAAUCAUCGAUAUUGUAACCAAUAAUGCGAAUAAAUAUCCCUCGGCUGAAUAAAGAAAACGGUAAUAGCUCCGUGAGAAGACGAUCAUCUCCACAACAGAAAAGGGGAAUAUGCCCCAGUAUAGCAACUGAUGCAUCUUGCCAUGUGGGUAACCGAGGAAAAUAUGCCCCAGUAUAGCAACUAGUACAUCUGGUCUGUCCUGAUGACUCGAGAAUAACUUAAUGGGGAUGUAUAAGAGAUCUGACAUGUGCUCCACUGAAAUGAUGAUAUGGGAGUCUAUGCACUUGAGACAACUCCAUCAAAGAAUCACGACAAUAUCAGAAAGUAUGAGCUUGGCUGAAUGACUCAAGAAAGACUUCACUAGGGAAUAAUCGUAAAAUAAAAUAAAAUCAUCAACUCGACAUGUAUCUCAUAAAUGAGGAUAAUCAUGCAAAUCAAUGUAGAUUUACAAAUCUCAAUCAAAACGAAAAUAUGCCCUAGUAUGGCACAGAUGUGUGGUAGGUCGAAAAAAAAAAAAAAAGAUGACUCCGAAUCAUCCAUCACCAAGUGUGUAAUCCUAGUCAUCCAUGUCCAUAGGUGAAUCAGAUCCACAUAUCAAAAGGUGUCUCUCAGAAGAAGAAGCAUAAGAACAUCUAAAUAUAAAAAAGUGUGGGCAUGAUUGAAUGGCCUAAAAGAGGCCCCACUAGGGGAUCAUGAUAAGUUAACAAACAGGUCAUCGUCUUGGUGUGUAUCUCGUAAGUGGAGAUUAUCAUGCAACUCCAUGAAGAUCUAUAAAUCUUAAUCGAAAGGGAAAUAUGCCUCAGUAUGGCAUAUGAUGUAUGGUAGAUCAAAAAAAUUAGACGACAUCGGAUCAUCCAUCAUCAAAUAUGCAAUCUCAAUCAUCCAUAUCCACAAUUGAAUCGAGUCCAUUCAUCAGAGAAAUGUCUCCCGGAAGAAGAAGCAUGAUGAUAUCUAAAUAUCAACCAAAUCUCAAACACCUGUCCAAGUAGAGGCUGUCGAAGACGACAUUUGAUCUCAUGGCCUCAGGGUGGUCUUAAAACACGGGACGUAAAUUAGGCUAGGGCGAUACGGUAAUAGAAAUGAAGGGAAACUAGGCCCAAAUACCCAAUAAUAAAAAACCCAUGCCCUUGUGUAUAAAAUGCGACAUGUAUAAAAUAACUCAUGAGCCAUGAACCGAGGUAACCAAGGGAAAUGUCAUGGAACAAGAAAAAAUGAUAAGUAUUCAAACUAUCAAUGAAAUGUGUGAAUGAUGUGUAGAAAGUAUCGAACCAGAAAUGUGUCAAUAUGAGGAAAUGGAUAAAAGGUGUAAGGCAGAUCUGGAAGGAGGUGAUGGGAUACAAAAUAAAGCAAUGAGAAAGUAGAAUGAAUGAUGAUCAACCCAUAUCAGUACAAUAAAGGAAAGUCAUAUCACCAAUGAUGGAAUGGUGGGUGAGACGAUGAUCUGGAGACCCUAGUAAAAGGUCACUCAUCUCUCAUAUGUUACUCAUCUCUCAUACCUAAUACAUAUCAACCUUGAUCCAAGAAGCAUAGGAUCUCAUAGAACUCUCACAUGAACCUUCGACACUCCGAAUGCAUAAUGAAAGUGACUCAAAGAGAGAAAUGUCCUCAUGGAAAACUCGCGCAAACCCUUAAUGAUAAACUCGAUAAACCCUUAAAUAACAACACAUGCUCAAUGGAGUAGGAUGCCAAGUACAAACAUAUCAUUGCACUUUUUUUUUUUUUUUUUGUGGCCAUACCCUAGUCAUCAAUAAAUCUUACUCCAAUGAGAAACUAAAAGGAAUGAAUAAACUCCCUCAAAUUACUAACGAACACAUGAAACCACAUCCUAUGAGAUAAACCCUCAAGCUAAAAUCUCUAAGUCAAUGUAAAAUGAUGGAAUGAAAGGGGUGAUAUGACUACCCUCUAUACAUUAAUAUGUGAAGAAUCAACAUUCCAAGUGAAGAAAGUAUGAAGUGUAACGACCAGUAAUGAAAUCCAAGAUAGAGAUGAAAAUGUGAAAAUAUUGGAACGUAACAGAUGGGGUGGUGAGGUGAUAAUAGAAAAGAUGAGAAAGAUAAGCCUAAAAGUCAAAAGCUCAUGAGACUCUCCUAGCAAAGCAUAACUAUACAUUAAAGGGCCCCAACCCGGGUGUAGAAAUGAUAAGCAAGGUUAUAGAAAAGAAAAGGUUAUAGCAUACCACGUGAGGCUCAAUGGGCUUGCAACGGUCUAAUAUACUAAUAAAUGUGAUAAGGUGUAAGGCUGAUCGAAAUGAUGGCCACCCAUCCUACGACCAUAAUCUCAAAUGUAAUACUUCUUUAGCUAAUCCACAUUGAUGGGCUCUGAAAACUGGUUUUCAUCUAAGUCGGUCAACCAUGCAACCCCUUCUGAAGUCAACUCUCAAAUAACAUAAGGCCCACUCCAACUAGGUCUGAACUUCCCUCUAGGGUCUCUAACUAAGCCUCUAAGAAUCCUCAAAACCAAAUUCCUUUUCUAUAAUGGUCUAGGCUUAACCUGUUUCCUAAAAGCACGUGCCAUCUUUCUUUGAUAGGCCUGAACAUGAUCCGCUGCUCUCAAUCUCUUCUCAUCUAAAAGGUUAAGCUAAUCAAAUCUAGCUUGAGCCCACUCUGUCUCAGAAAUCUGCUGCUCGAGAGCUACUUUCAAUGAACUCAUCUCUGUCUCAACUGGCAAAAUAGCCUCCAUACCAUAUACCAAAUAAUAAGGCAUAGCUCCUGUAGGGUGCGAAAAGAGGUACGAUAUGCCCACAAUGCAAAAUGGAGUUUCUCUAACCAAUCUCGAGAGGUUUCAACCAUCUUCCUCAAAAUCUUCUUAAUGUUUUAAUUUGCGGCUUCUGCUUUCCCAUUAGUUUGUGGCCUAUAUGCAAAAGAUCUAUGAUGUCGGAUGCCAAAUUUCUGUAACAAAGUGUGAACCUCAGCUUGAAAGUGUACUCUUCUGUAAGAAAAUCAACUCAUGUGGCACCCCAUAGCGACAAAUAAUGUGUGAUAUGAUGAAACUGGCAACUCUAGCAGAUGUCAACCUCGUAUAUGAUGCAGCUUCCACCCACUUGGUGAAAUAAUCUAUGGCAACUAGGAUAAACUCAUGACCACUAGAAGAUUUUAGUGAAAUCUUCCCAAUAAUAUCAAUACGCCGUACUGAAAACGACCAUGGUGAGGUCAAAACGUGUAACUUUGAUGGUGGUGCAUGAAUAAGAUCACCAUGAAUCUGACACUUUGGACAUCUCUGAACAAACUAAUAACAAUCUGUCCCCAUAGUCAUCCAAAAGCAACAUGUCCUCAUAAUCUUACGGGCUAGCAUGUGUCCUCCCAUGUGUAGGCCACAAACUCCCGCAUGAACCUCUCUCAUCACUCGAUCUGUAGAGGCUCGAUCUAAACAUAAUAAAUACAUACCAUCAGUUGAUCGCCUUUAUAGAGUCUCUUUGCAAAUCACAAAUCUAGUGGCCAUCUACCUCAAUGCCCUUCGAUCUUUGGCUAUGACGGCCUCUGGGUAUGUGUUAGAUCUAAGAAAUCGAUAUAUGUCAUGAUAUCAUCUUGGACUUUUGUCUCUCCAAUAAGACAAUAGUAAGUGGGUGACCACCUCGACUCAAUCAACAAUGGACGUAUAAUCACAUCGGUCGGAAUGUCCACGGAAGAAGCUAAGGUAGCUAAGGCAUCAACAAACCGGUUUUGUGCUCUAGGUAGACGAGUGUAUCUUAAAUCAUCAAAUCUCCUAACCAGUAACUCUAAAUAAGCAUGAUACGAUCUAAGAUUUACGUCCCUGGUUCUCCAAUCACCUUGAAUCUGUCUGAGUACCAAAUUAGAGUCACUGAAUACCUCCAUCUGUCUAAUGCCAAGCUCCAAUGCAGUCUCUAGACCAAGGAUACAAGCUUCAUACUCAACUAUGUUGUUCGCGACGGGAUGUUGAUUUGAAAACGCAAAGCGAACUAACCUCGGAAUAUGAUCACCUUGGGGGGAUAUCAACAAAACGCCUAUCCCAAACCCUGAUUGGUUGGUUGCACCAUCAAAGUACAUGCGCCAACCUGAUAAGCUAGUCAUAGGAAUGAACUCGUCAUCUAGGAAAACAUCAUCAACUGGUCUACCCUUAGAUAUCAGUAAUAAGGCUAAGUGAUCGACGACAAUGCUUUCCUUGAUAGACUUCUGAGAAACAUACUGAAUAUCAAACUCUGUCAAAAGUAUGAGCCAUCUCAUCAAUCUACCAGUCAAUGCAGGUCUGUCAAACAAAUACCUCAAUGGAUCUAGUCGAGAAAUCAAACACACUGAAUACUCAGUCAGGUAAUGCCUCAAUCUCCUGGUGGUCCAAACUAAUGCUAAGCAGAGGCGCUCAAUCAUAACAUAUCUCAUCUCAUACUCUAGUAUUCUCUUACUCAGAUAGUAAAUAGCUCGCUCCCUCCCUGAAUCAUUAAGCUGAGCUAGCAUACAUCCCAAGGUCAUGUCUGAAACUUACAAAUACAAAAUAAGUGGGCAUCCAGGCAUAGGAGGCACUAAAAUAGGAGGAGAAAGCAAGUAGUCCUUGAUCUUCUCGAAUGCAAUCUGGUAAUCAUCAUUCUAAAUUGUUGGUUGAUUCUUUAUCAAAAGAUGAAAAAUGGGCUCACAUAUGUUUGUCAAUCUGGCUAUGAAACGACUAAUGUACUAUAACCUGCCCAAAAAACCCUUGAUCUCUUUCUCAGUCCUUGACAUAGGCAUGUCAAGUAUGGCUUUGAUCUUAUCUGGGUCAACCUCUAUACCCCACUCACUGACCAUAUGCCCCAACAAUUUCCCAGAAGUCACUCCAAAGGUGCAUUUUUUGGGGUUUACCCUCAACCUGAAUUUUUGAAUCCCCUUAAAGAAUCCCUCUAGAGCCAUUAGGUGAUAUGCUUAACCUCGGGAUUUCACAAUCAUAUCAUCCACAUAAACUUCCACAUCCCUAUGUAUCAUGUCAUGAAACAAAGUGGUAGCGGCUCUCUGAUAAGUAGCUCAUACUUUCUUCAACCCAAAUGGCAUAACUCUAUAACAGUAGCUACCCCACUCGGUAAUGAAGGUUGUCUUCUCCAUCCAUGAAAGACAACAGCGAAUAGCCUACAGUGCUAUCGACCAACAAAUAGAUAUGUGGGAGAGGAAAAUCAUCCUUAGGGCUGGCUUUAUUAAGGUCUUUGAAAUCGACACAAACUCUAACCUUGCCAUCCUUUUUGGGAAUUGGGACGACAUUAGCCAACCACUCUGGAUACUCAACCAUUGAUAUAAAUCCAACAUUGAGUUGUUUCUGAAUUUCCUCUUUCACCUAUAGACUCCAACGUGGGUGCAAUCGCCUCAGUUUCUACUUAACGAGUCUUACAUGUGGUAAGAUAGGCAGAUGGUGCUGGACUAUAGAGGGAUCCAAACCUGGCAUGUCCUCAUAAGACCACACAAAAACAUCCAAGUAUGACCUGAGUAAAUGAAUAAGUCUAUCCCUCUCAUCUAUAAACAGAGGUGAACAAUCUUUAGCUCUCUAGGUUGAUCCUUUGUGCCAAAAUCAAUAGUCUUAACAUCCCUUGUAGCAGGUGAGACUUUCUCAUCUAUAGGAUCUGAGUCAUGAUAAGAAGAGUCUCUAUUUGAAUUAGGUUUCACGAUCUCAUCAUCUAUAUCAAGUAUUUGUGGAGUGGGUGAGUGGGGUGCAGAUAAACAAAUACUAUCACAAAAGACAGGCAAAUACUCGAAAAAUACUCAAAUCUAUAGAUACGAAAUCAUAAACAUUGUCUGAGUGGGAAAUGAAUCCCAAUAAAAUGUCAAAUGAAAGAGGUGGGUUCACAAAGUUGGACGUUCCCUCAAUAAAUCCAAAAGUGUCCUCAAACUCAUCAUCACUAACUGUAACAUCCUCUAUAAGCUCUGGAGCAAGAACUGUCUGGAUAUCCUCAACAAUCUCGAUAGCAGACACCCCAAACAAAUCGAAUGAUGAAGCAGGCUCAUGUUGAACCAUCUUGGCAAUCUGACUCAUACUCAUGUCCAUCUCAUCUCAAUACUCGUCAUGAGGAACAACUCCAUCAGUCACCCCAAUAGGCUCAAUGUUUACUCCAUAAUUAGUAGUCUCAUUUGGAAAGCACAAUGAUAAGAAGCUGGCUCGAUCUGGUGAUGAAGGAGCAAUCAUCACUGAAACUAGUGCGUCAAAAGUCUCAUCUCCUAACUGUAAAUGGUGAAAUUGAUGUUGAAGCUCAUCCACUCCCUCUAUAUUAGUCACAUCGCUAAAAUCCCCCAUAUGAGGAUGAACCUCUGAUCCUCUGAUGUAGUAAUCUGCCAAGCUCAUCCUAUAAGAUGAACAGGAUAAUCAAAUGAUGUGCAAGUUUAACGGGCUCUCACUCUCUCUUGGUGCAAAUGCGCCAUAUACCUAUAGUUAGCCUCUAUAGGAACAAACCCAAGCCCAAAUGGUGUAUCAUGAUGGACAGUAGCCACAAACUCCAUAGGCUUGUGCUGACGUCAUCCCAACCCCGAACUAGGUAUAAAAGACAUACCCCUCAUCAUGUCGAGUACCACCAUACUACUAUGUUGAUCAAAUGACAUAGUUACGAGAUCUCUGCAGAAGUCCCCAACCUCAAGAGUCUGCACCUUAUCAAAUGUAAACCCGAUAAAAAAUAGGUCAUCCUUACUAUGAUUGAUCUGAAGCAUCGGCUCGGAGGAGGCAAACAUAUCUUUAGGAAACUGUACUACGAUGACUUGCCUAUCAUGUAUAAACUUCACCUUCUAAUGAAGGGGAGAUGGAAUAGCCCCGACCCUAUGAAUCCAAGGUCAGCCCAAAAGUAGGUUAAAGGAUGUGGGAAUCCUCAAAACCUGGAAUAAUUUAGGGAAUGUAGUCAGACCAAUCAACAACUCUAUCAUCAAAGUACCCAUGACCUCACUCUUAGUACUGUCAUAUGCUCUAACCGUCUGUGUAGAGGGACCAAAGUCUAAAGGUGCAUAGCCAAGGGCGAUAGCAGUAGCCAAUGGGCAGACGUUCAAGGCUGAGCCAUUGUCCAACGGGACAGAUGGAACUUUGUGGCCUGAACAACCAACUGUAAUAUAUAGAGGGCGUGCAUGGUUUGAAUCCUCUGGUGGCAAGUCAUCAUCUGAAAACACAAUACAUGUGGCCUUGUCGGCCGUCAUCAUAUGAAUCAACCCCUCCGGGGUAGUGGUGGUCUCCACGAGAAUCUGGCUCAAAGCUCGAAUCAAUGCAUCUCUAUGAGCACUAGAAGAUGCUAGCAAACUCCAUAUAGAUAUGCAGGCCUGUGUACUCUGUAACUGCCUCAGUAUCUCAUCAUCCUCUCUCCUGACCUCCUCAUGAGAGACAACACCAUCAAAUGGACUGGCUACUAGAGGUGAGGCCUGAUCUACUCUCCCACUAUGGGUUAUAAUUUGUACAUCUCUCCCCUCUAAAUCGUCAUCAUCUGGCUGUAGGAUAAAUGAGACGAAUGGGCCCUGACGUGUCGUAGCCAACGGUGCAGUAGGAGUCAACUCAAACGGUACCCAAUCUGAAAUCAAACUGAAUGGAGUAGAAGUUUGAGAACCCACUGUGUCAACCUCAUAACCAUCAUCUAAAAAAAUCGGCUCUGGAGAUCCAUCAUCCCAACUCAUCAUGUGUAUGCUGUCAUCUUCUAAAAAAUCUAUGUGAUGGAUACCGCUCGGGAGUGGUGGCAUUACAUGCGUAGAGUGAGCUGGUAGAGGGUUCGUGGUUAGACUUGGUUGCCCCAAGUUAACCAAACCCUGGUCUAUCAAGUCUUGCAUAGCACGUCUUAGAGUUGAGCAGCAAUCAGUGUCAUGUCUUGGACUCUGAUGGUAAGCAUAGUGAACGUCCAUCUUGAACUGAGGUGGCACGGACUGGGGUACAGGCCUAGGAGCUAACUGAGUCAUCAAACUACCCUCCAUGAGCUUUUGGAAAGCUCAAAUCAAGGGCAUACCUAGCUGAGAGAACUAUCGUAUCGGCCUCUGUGCACAAGGAAUAGCAGUCCGUGGAGCUCGGCGCUGAGGGUGUAAGGUAGGAGGUCUCUCUAAGACUUGUGUAGCAAAAUAGGCUUUGGGGUUGGAUGUAGUUAUGUAGGAGUCAUAGGCCUGGGCGGUCUAUACUGAACAUAACGCUGUGGGUAAUAGGCUCCUGAAGUCUGCCCAAAUGUCUGAUAGCGCCUGGGAGAUCUCGAUCCUGCUGAACUGAUAGUACCCACAUCUCCAAGUCUCUAUCCUCUUAAGGGCUUCUUUCCUUUUGAGUCAGAAGGGGAAGACUUGGGCCACAAUCCUCUAGCACUGUCCUCCUCUAUACUGUAUAGAGCCUAUACCAGGGAUCUAAAAUCUGUGUGAGGAAAUCUUAUCAAAUGUCUGGCAAAUUUGGGUUGUAAGAUCCUCAAAAUCAUACUAAUAUGGUCAUUCUAUGAAGGACGAUCAAUAAUCUAUGCAAUAUUCUCCCUCCAUCGAGAGAUAAACGAAGUCACCGACAGCUCCAGUCCCUGUCUUAAGGCCUCUAGCUCUCUCCUUGAGACUAUAAUGACAAUGUUAAAAGCAAACUGUCUCAAAAACUCUUGGGCCAAAUCAUUCCAAGUCCUAUGGCGUGAAGCAUCUAAAGAAGUAAACUAAUGCUAUGCUACACCACUCAAGGACAUGGGAAAAAGCAUAAUCAAGUGGGUCUUAUCCAACCUGUGGGCCCUUAUCACAGUAUUGUAUAGCCUCAAAUGAAUCUUGGGGUAACCUAUGCCCAUAUACCUCUUAAUCUCUGGCAUCCUGAAAUGGGACGGUAAAUUGGCCACCGGUGCUCCAUCAAAGUCAUUCCAACUGAUAGCUCCAUCUAAAACCCUCAUCUGUCUUAUCUUCUGCUCAAGUCUAUCCAUACGAGCAUGUGCAUCCUUUGAGGUUUGAAUGGGUGCUAUGACAAAAAGUGGGGUAGCAUCAAUUUGACUAUGUAAAACAUACGGUGCAGGGUGUGGAACCAACUGACUGAGUGAAGGAGGUGGUGGCGCCGCAGAGUCAUACUGUGCGCUAUCCUAAGGCGGGGCUUGCUACCCAUCUAUCUUUUGGCCGAGGCCGAUUAUAGCCUCCUGAAUCGAAGCCAUGGCUAUGACAAACUGGUCAACAGUGACUACCUGGGAGUCCAUAUCUCUCUGAUCUACUCUCUGGUUUGGCUGAUCUUAUACUCUAGUCUACCUGCCUCUAACUCUAGUCCAUGAAGGUGAAUCCAUACUAGGCACCAAAAUUACUCUUAAAAACACGGAAACAUUAGAUGAGAAGUUGUACAAGGGUAGCUCUAUAGGAACCGACUAAAAGGUAAUCAAGCAUAGAGCCCAUGUAUACUCAAAUUGAUACUCGUAUUUGAUCAUACCAAAAUGAAACUAUGGAGAGGGUUACCAAACCCAAUUGUAACCAAAGCAGCUCUGAAGGUCCACAAAUGCACCCACGUGUAGGAAUGAAAUCCUAAUUGGGUCUAGGUUAACCUACAAGGUUGAGGUGGUUCUAUAAGAUAAAAAUGGGUGAGUUAAAGGAUCCCUAGCAGAAGCGAUCGUACCCUCUACCGAUACGCAACCCUUUGCACGCCUCCAAGGAGACGGGGUGCUUCCAUGCAAGGUGGUCAUCACCUCCACACAUGCACUUCUUCGCGUUCCUAGGGGGUUUCUUAAUGGUCAAGGCUCUCCCAUCUCUCAGCGCUUUGGGAUAAUCUAAGGUGCACGGUGAAGGAUGUGGGUACAUUCGAAACACCUAAGGUCUAAAGUGAGAUAGUGAACAAAGACAAGCAAUCAUGCAAUCAUACAAGAGAGAGGGUUGUCAUGCGACAAGCAAUCAUGCGAAACAGAGAAAUAUCAAACAAUCAAAGUCCUAUGUAACAAAUGUGAGAGUGAAUCAUGCUGAAGUGAGCAAACAAUCAGGUGAUCAUGCAAGAUAAACAAGUAUAAAGACAUGUUAAGAUAGCAAACCAAUCAAGCAAGCAAACCAAAUCACAUUGCCUAAAAAAAGGAGGUACCCUCUAAUCGACCAAUUAAACGCCAUAUUUUCCUCAACUAGUGUUCAAGCUUGAUCCUUAAAAUCCCUAGUGGAGUCGCCAAUUUGUGGACCUGUAUUUUUCAUGUGUUCCUCUACUCGGUCGACGAGACUUGCUUUUAUUUGUGAAAUAUUAUUUUUGAAAAAUUCGGAGUCACCACUUAUUUUAUUUUAAAGGGAAAAUAAAAUAAGAAAUAAAACCCUAAAAAAAAUGACUCCACAUUUUUGGAAAAGCAUGUCUUGAAAAACCCGAGUCUAGGUCCAGGGAUUAGGUUACCUAUUGGGAAAGUACCUCUAAAAGGUAGUACCCCUCUAAGCCCUACAAAGGUCUCUACUGACUAAGUUAAGGGAAAUGUGGCAAUUAAUUUAUUAAUUGAGGAUACCUAGGUAGACUAAGGUGAUUUAAAAAAAAAAAAGCAUGCCAAACAAGAUCAAAUCACAAUAAAGGAGAGUUAGGAUGCAUACCCGAAUCGCUUCUCAAGCGCUAUCAUAAAAUAUCAGAGUUAGUAUAGAUAUAUAACACACGACAUGUAUUCAAUCAUAGCAAAUCAAGCAUACAUCCAAGCACCUAAGGAUCAUAUCAAGCAUAAAUAAGGCUCACAACAACAUGCAUGUUCAUGAAAUCCCGAAAAGUAAAGAUAGAGAGCGUACCUAGAUAGCAUGCAUAAUUGAUAAGAUUCUUCCAAAAAUGUUAGAAUGGUUAGGACAAGUAUAAAUUAUAUAACAUCUCUAUUAUAUCUAAUAUACAGUACCAAAUCCAAAAGUUAACCAAGGUAAGUCAAAUGACUCCAAAAGCAGAUAACAAAUUCAAGCAAGUAUUGAGUCAUCAGCAUGCAUAUAGUAAAGGGAGCAUCACAAAACAAUUGCUAAAAAAAUGCCUUGCAGUGGAAUUUAAUCACAAAAAAUUUCAGAAAGCAACUCCUACAUAUCUAGAACAAGAUACCAAAAUCCAAACACUCAUUCAAAUGACAAAUUGUAGUGAAGACACCCUAAAGUUCCAGAAGGUCCGGAUUAGGUAAAAAGAAAAUAGUGACAUGCAUAAAUGAUUUUUUUAAAGAAUUAUAAGACAUCAAAGAAAUUUGUAAAAAAAAAUAAAAUACAUCAUUCAAGGUGUCUAUAUCACAAGGAAAAUAAAUUAAGGGUCGGGUAGUACUCAAAAAUAUUUUUAAAACACUCAAGCUUAUCAGAUGUCCAGAUUCCAUCAUGCACAGUAGGUACAACUUUGAAAAAUCAUAUCUCCCUCAACAAGGCAUAUUUUUUAAUAUUUUAUGUGUCUAAGAUCAAUUUAAAGAAGCCUAGAAUUGAGGAAAAAUAUUGAAUCAAAUUUAAAAAGUUUUUUGUUAUUUGAUUUUUUCAAAAAGAUCUCGGGUCCAGAACUAGAUGAAAACAGAGCCCCCCUAAAGACUUGUUCAUAUCUUCUAUUCUAGAAUGGCUUUCCAACUCAAAUGAAACUUUAAAUUCAAGUUCAAGAAGUGAGAAAAGUCAUACAAGUUUUGGAAAACUUUUAAAAACAUUCUAAAGUUGCUAAAAUGAAUUUUAAAUCUAAAGGGUCAGUGGCUGAGUGAAAACUGGUAGCAAGGAAGAGUUUUGAAAAAAUUUCUUAUGUAGGGGUUUCACCAAUUCCCCAAUUGAUAUACACAAAUCCAACCUAGAAUCAUCCCACUUGUUUGGGACCACAACCCUGAAUUUGUAUUCCGUUAAAAACCAGGAUUUUUAUUUGAAAACUGAGAAAGAUGCAAACUGAUCAAAACAUGGUUGCAUAUUUUUAAAGAAAAUGGGAUUUUGAUUCUAAAGACUCUAAAUGAAUUAUUUUUAGCACAAGAUUUUCAAAGGUAUCUUUUGAGAAAAGCAUUUGACUUUAAAAUAAAGGGAAUUAGUAUGAAAACAACAAAACAUAAGAAAUGAAAUACCGAUCAAAAUAGAAGAAAAUGAAUUCACAAAGUGAAAUUUUUUACAAUCCGAGUAAACCAAAGUGGUGAGAAUGGAGGCCAAUCUUCACUUUUUUUUUUAUUUUUUAUGACCUAUGAAAAUAAAAGUAAAGAUAAAAUUAUUAUAGCAACCUACCAGAGAUGUUUAGAUCAAGUAAACUAACAUUUUAACAAAUCCAACUUUUAAUUUUCCACCAAAAAUUACAUGCUAACGUUUUAAAAAAUCUAACUUUCAUUCUAUUACUAAGGACUAUGGAAAACAAGUGUCUAAAGAAAUUCUAUCUUUUAAAUGAUCACCAAGAAUAAAUAAAAAAAAUAAAGACUUCAAGAAAAUCUUAAACUAGCAUAGAUAAUCAAGAACUAAUUGUUGGAAUUUUAAAUGCAUCUAAACUUAAGAUAAAUCAAUCAAGCGCUUAGAAAUGAGUUUUAAAAUGAAACUAAUAAUACAGGAUAUUCACAAUUAUCAACUUAGUUUCAAAGAAAUAGUAAACGUCAUCGGGAUCACCAAAACAACAUCUAAUAAUCUAAAGAACAACAUAUAAUGGCAUAGAUCAUAAAAAAACAGUAACUUAUUGCUUAGAAUCGAAUGUAAAUUAACAUGGGUUUUUAAAAUUAACUGCUAAGGAUUCAGGGAAUAAACGAAACAUCAUGGAUCAAUAUAGAAAAGAAUUCAUAGGUAUGCACUAAGGGGACCGAAAGAUUUCAUGAGUGUUGAUUUAAAAAAAAACAGUUGAUUCCUAAUUCAAUAGUUCUAAUGAAUUUUAUUUAUAAAAGAAUGUUUUGAUUAGUUUAAAUAAUAAGAAUAAAAAUGCUUUAAUUUCAUUUAAGGAAAAUACUUUUAAAAAGUUUAUUUACACGAAAAUAAAUGUUAUUACUUUUGUAAAAGAAAUAUUUCAUGAGUAUUAAAAAAAUAAUUGAUUUCCAAUGCAAUAGUUUUAAUGAAUUUUAUUUAUAAAAGGAAGUUUUGAUUAAUUUAAAUAAAAAAAGGCUUUAAUUUCAUUUAAGGAAAAUACUUUUAAAAGUUUAUUUACAAAAAAUACCAUAAUUCUAUUUUAUUUAAAAAGGAAAAAAAAAUUCAUAGGAAAGAAAUCAACAAAAAUAAUCAUAAUAAUAAAUUUUAUCUAUAACAAUAAUAAUAAUAAUAAUAAUAAUAAUAAAACCUCAUAAAAAAAUUAUCUCGCCAUUUUUAAAAAUAUUUUAUAAAUGUGAAAAAAAUAUCUUUUAUAAUUUUAUUUAAAUUGUGUACGAUAUUUAGAAGGAGAUAGGAUUGUAAAGUAUUGGAAUAGGAUUUUUUUUUUUUAAAAAAAGGAAAAUAUUUCAUGGAGGAUGAUUGGAAAAUCUUCAUCUUCUUCGCGAUCAGGCCUUGGCACAUGUCAGCCAUGGAAGGAGAUGGUCCAACUCCGAUCACUCUCCAUUUCGGCUAACUCUGCUGAAGCAUUCCAGAAAAUCCAGAACCCACGCUGCCUACUUUCGGAUAAACUACAUCAUCGUCAUUCUCUUCAUCCUCUUCGCCGUGGUAUCCAUACCCAUCCCCAAGUCCUUCACCAUAUACUCCGCAUAACCACCUGGUCUAACCUCUCCAUCAUCCUCCUCCUGAGCAAUUCCAUUGCUUCCGACCCUGCAUGCCCUAACGCUCUAUAUUGCGCCUCCAUUUCCACUGCCAGCCUGCACCAUUAUUCUUCCACUCUGUCAAAACGGCCCAUUGCACCACCCUCAUAAUCUCAUCCAACAUCAUCAUGGAUGGUCAUCAACAUCCUCCAUCGUUCAAAGUCACUCAUCGUUUCCAUACCUGUUAUGCACCAAUGUUCUCAUUCACCACAUCUUCACAACUCGCCACUUCCUUUUCCUAUCUUUAUUCUUGUCAACAUCACAAAAUCAUUCAUUUUCACCUUGUAGCCGCGCGUAGCCACCCACAACAUCUCGUGGCCGCUUCAAUUCCCUCAUAACAGAUAACAUAAUUCCCAUCAUAGUCGGUUAUGAUCUCAUUCCAUUGAUUUAAUCAUAUAAAUAAAAAAAAUAAAAAAAAAUAAAAAAUAAAACAUGCAAGGACAUCAUUCAAAUCAUAGCGGACCAUAUAUUCACAUUAGUGUGCAUUUUGAAUCCAACAAAAUGAAGUCGAAGAACACUAACCUUGCCUAAAGAAUGGUGCAGCAGGAUGAAGAUCCUUCCUCUUCUCAAUGGUGCGGUUCCUCCGGAAAAUCUCUUGAUGAAGGGAAAAUCUCUUGAUGAAGUGGUUGCCUUUUCUCAAUCGUCCAUCUUCCCUCUUCUAUCCACUUCUUUCACUUCGUGCGGUAGUUUUAAAAAAUAAAAAUAAAAUCUCUCUAGCACAUUGGCCAUCCUUCACUACUCUCUAUCCUCAUUUUUCUUUCUUUUUUAGUGCUUUUCACAACCACAGUAAUGGAAGGAACAACAGAAAUAGUCCACCUUCUCCCUUUCGGAUCAUCCUCCCUUUAAUUGUGCCUCCUUUUCCUUUUCUUUCUUAAUCUAUUCUCCAUCAUCUAGUCAACUUCUCUACAGCCACGGUGGGAAAAAAAACGGCAGAAAAGGUUUCCUUCUCCUCUUCCAAUUACCCUCCAUCCCCUCCAAUUUUCCUUUUUUUUCUUUGCCUUUCCUUUUCUCUCUUCUUCUCUUUCUUAAUCUUUUCUUAUUAUAGGCACGUGGGAUCCAUGCAAAACAAAUAAUAAAUAAAUAAAAAAUAGGAAAAUAAAAAUACAAAUAAAAGAAAAUAAAGAUUAGAAUAAUAAUAAAUAAAAAACGUGUAACUAAGAAUUAAAAAUCCAAAAUAUGCAAUUUUAAACGAAAUUAAAAAUAUAGAUCACAUGCAAAACUAAAAUGAAUCAUCAACUCAAGCGACUUUUUAUCAAAACAAAUUAUUAAAUAGAUAAAGAAAAAAAAUAAAUAUGAUUAUUAAGUUCAUGCAAUUUCCUAAAAAUAAAUAAAUAAAUAUAUGAAUAAACUAAUAAAUUGGGAGAAAUAAAAAACAAAAAAACAAAAUCAAGCACUUGCAAGCCGUACGAACCAUGCAACCAUGCAAGCCAUACAAAAAAUAAUAUGAACUUUCCUAAGGUGCCUAAGUGGGCCUAGGGUGGUGCUUAAUGGGCCUAAGAUGCCUAAGUGGGCCUGAGGUGUUUAAGUGAUCAUAAGGUGCCUAAGUGGGCCUAGUGUGCCUAAAUGGGUCUAAGUCUAAACUAGGGCUUCCAAGAAUCACAAUGGAGUUAGAUAAAUCCCUUAACCAAAGUCCCCAAGGUGGCUUAGAAAAGAUAGACUACAUGAGUAGUAAUGGGCUGCCAUGGAACUAUUGCAAAAUAUGGGACAAAUACCUUAUAGGACAUGUGAUAAGAGGACAAAAUGGAGGGUUUACAAGCAUAUGCCCUUAAAAUGGAGUGAUUAAGGGCUACAAGUAGUCAUGCUUGAUUCUUCUUCAAAAUUGUUAAACCUCCUCUGAAGUUGUGAUGAUUUUAGCUCGACAAGUAAAAAAUUAGCACUUACAAGAUUAUGUUUGACUUUGUCAUAUUGCUCAAUACAAGUUUAACAUGUGUCAUAUCCUUCGUCAAACUCAUUGGAGAACAUUUUAAAUUGUCCUAGAUUUUAGAGUUUUUUUAGGUAUCUUUUUGUAUGUCCCCGAAGAGACCAAUAUUUAUGGGUGGAGUUUGGAUACCUUAUUUGGCAUCCUAAGAUUUGAUUUUAUAGAUUCUAAAAAUUUAAUUCAUUGAUUGCAUUACUUUUUCUUUUCUUAGAUGACAUUUUACUAAGCCAACAAGAGAAUACAUCCUCUUUCUUGUAAUUUGAUUUGAUUUUAUUUUGCAAGGCAAUUUUCAUUUUUAUGUAUAGUUUCACAAAAUGAUACAAAGGUGCUUCUAUAGCCUAGUGAUGGUCAUUGAUUUUAUGGCUUAACAAAAUUAUGGAUAUUGAAAAUUAUGGAUAGGCAAGUGGUAUUUCACCUUAUAAUGUCAAUCUCUUAAUUAUUGUAUGAAUAAUUUUGCUUUAGGAUAGUCUUUCAUAAAUUUAAAGAGCUUUUGAUAUAGUAUUGAAGAAAAAUUGCAUUGACAUGGAACAAAAUCAUAUAAGGUGAACUAAAGGGGUUUAAAAGUAAAAUAUGGAAUUCUUUUAUUUAUUAACUUAUUAAAUUUUUAUCUUUUACUAAGAAAGAGAAUAAAUUGGAGAAUGUUUAAGAAAAAACAAAGUUCAAAUUUUAAUUUUAAUUUUCAAUUUUUUGUUACCUUCUAAAAUUUUCUUUUAUUUUUUAUUUUAAUCUUUUAGUCCAUUCAAUUUGAGAUAGCUAGAUAAAUAUACUAUCAUCAUAAUCAUAUAUGUAUAUUUAGGUUGUUUGUUAUUGGGACUUUUACUAAAUUAGUAUACUUAACACACUUAAGAUCUAGCGUUUCUUUACAAUGGUCUUAUAUAUUAGGUAAAAAAAUUUAUUUUAUAUAAAUCUUUUUCAAGAAGUAUUUGCAAAAUGUCUUGCAUGAAAAAAGAUUCCAAGAACUCAAUAUUCUUGUUAAAAGAAUUUAUAAAUACACAAUCUUGUAACUUAAAUUAAUCAGAUAAAGUUACCACUUAAAUUAAUCAGAUAAGCUUUGUAAAAGUUGAACAAAAAGCAAGUCUUACUUUUUUAGAAAAGUAAAGUUGAAUUGUGGAUGUCUCAAUCCACUAGCUUGACUUCAAAAGCUAAGAUGCAAUGGUGCUUUAUGCCCUUAAGAUCAUGAGAUAUUUUAAUUUAUUACUUAUGAAUUAAAGAAUUAGGUAGACUUAUAAAAAGGUAAAGACUAAUAUAGUUAUAUGAUUGUUAAAAAGUAAAUAGAAAAAAAAAAAAAAGAAGAAGAAGAAGAAGAAGAAAGAUAUCAUAAUCUCUCUUUCUUAUUCUUUGCUUCGUUAACACGUCUCUGGUUGAUUGGCUUGGGCUCUAAAUCAUUUAAAAUCUAAUGAUUUUGCAAAAAAAAAAAAAAGAAAAAAAAAAGAAAAGGAAAAAAUAAGUGACCUUAAAAGCAAAUACGACUAUAGUUCUAAAAUUUUAUUUCCAAAAUAUAUCUUCUUGUGAGGAUACAAAAUUGACUCUUAAGAAUUAAUGUAGUUUCAUAUUAAGUGUAUCCAUGUCCAAUAUAUUUUUUUUCUUUCUAAAUAAUGCAUUGUUUUUUAUAUUAAAAAGAAAAAAAAACCUUUUAAUGUCAAUCUCUUAUUUUAUAAAUAAUUUUACUUUACAACAUAAUACUAUAAAUUUAAAAAACCUCUAAUUUAAUAUUGAAGAAAAAUUGCAUUUGCAUGUACACAAUCAUGUACACACUUAAGAUCAAGCAUUUCUUUACAAUGGUCUUAUAUAUUCGGUAAAAAAAAACUUUAUUUUAUAUAAAUCUUUUUCAAGAGGUAUUUUCUAAAUGUCUUGCAUAAAAAAUACUCCAAGAACUCAAUUCUCUUGUUAAAAGAAUUUAUAAAUACACAAUCUUGUAACUUAAAUUAAUCAGACAAAGUUACCACUUUAUAUAGGUUAUAAUAAGACUCAGCAUUUCAUGAUAAGGGAAAAUUUUAAAAAAUUGUCAGUGGUUGGGCAAAAUAAAUUUAAAACUUUAUGAAUAAUAAGGUUUGUAAAAGUUGAACAAAAAGCAAAUCUUACUUUUUUAGAAAAGUAAAGUUGAAUUGUGGAUGUCUCAAUCCACUAGCUUGACUUCAAAAGCUAAGAGGCAAUGGUGCUUUAUGCCCUUGAGAUCAUGAGAUGUUUUAAUUUAUUACUUAUGAAUUAAAGAAUUAGGUAGACUUAUAAAAAGGUAAAGACUAAUAUAGUUAUAUGAUUGUUAAAAAGUAAAUAAAAAAGAAAAAGAAAAAAGAUAUCAUAAUCUCUCUUUCUUAUUCUUUGCUUGGUGGACAUGCUCUCCUAGCUGAUUUGGCUUGGGCUGCUAAAUCAUUUCAAAAUCUAAUCGAUUUUUGCUUCGAAAAAAAAAAAAAAAAANNNNNNNNNNNNNNNNNNNNNNNNNNNNNNNNNNNNNNNNNNNNNNNNNNNNNNNNNNNNNNNNNNNNNNNNNNNNNNNNNNNNNNNNNNNNNNNNNNNNCUUAGGAAUUAAAGAAUUAGGUGAGACUUAUAAAAAGGUAAAGACUAAUAUAGUUAUAUGAUUGUUAAAAAGUAAAUAAAAAAGAAAAAGAAAAAAGAUAUCAUAAUCUCUCUUUCUUAUUCUUUGCUUGGUGGACAUGUCCCUAGUUGAUUGGCUUGGGCUCUAAAUCAUUUAAAAUCUAAUGAUUUUGCCCAAAAAAAAAAAAAAAAAAGAAAAAAAACAAAAGAAAAAAGAAAAAAAAAAGUGACCUUAAAAACAAAUACGACUAUAGUUCUAAAAUUUUAUUUCCAAAAUAUAUCUUCUUGUGAGGAUACAAAUUUGACUCUUAAGAAUUAAUGUAGUUUCAUAUUAAGUGUAUCCAUGUCCAAGAUUUUUUUUUUCUUUCUAAAUAAUGCAUUGUUUUUUAUAUUAAAAAGAAAAAAAUACCUUUUAAUAUCAAUCUCUUAUUUUAUAAAUAAUUUUACUUUACAACAUAAUACUAUAAAUUUAAAAAACUUCUAAUUUAAUAUUGAAGAAAAAUUGCAUUUGCAUGUACACAAUCAUGUACACACUUAAGAUCUAGCAUUUCUUUACAAUGGUCUUAUAUAUUCGGUAAAAAAAUUUAUUUUAUAUAAAUCUUUUUCAAGAAGUAUUUUAUAAAAUGUCUUGUGUAAAAAAAAAACUCCAAGAACUCAAUACUCUUGUUAAAACAAUUUAUAAAUACACAAUCUUGUAACUUGAAUUAAUCAGAUAAAGUUACCACUUUAUAUAGGUUAUAAUAAGACUCAACAUUUCAUGAUAAGGGAGAAUUUUUAAAAAUUGUCUGUGGUUGGGCAAAAGAAAUUUAAAACUUUAUGAAUAAUAAGGUUUGUAAAAUUUGAACAAAAAGCAAGUCUUACUUUUUUAGAAAAGUAAAGUUGAAUUGUGGAUGUCUCAAUCCACUAGCUUGACUUCAAAAGCUAAGAUGCAAUGGUGCUUUAUGCCCUUGAGAUCAUGAGAUGUUUUAAUUUAUUACUUAUGAAUUAAAGAAUUAGGUAGACUUAUAAAAAUUAAGGUAAAGACUAAUAUAGUUAUAUGAUUGUUAAAAAAUAAAUAAAAAAAAAGAAGGAAAAAGAUAUCAUAAUCUCUCUUUCUUAUUCUUUGCUUGGUGGACACGUCCCUAGCUGAUUGGCUUGGGCUCUAAAUCAUUUAAAAUCUAAUGAUUUUGCAAAAAAAAAAAAAAGAAAAGAAAAAUAAAAGUGACCUUAAAUGCAAAUAUGACUAUAGUUCUAAAGUUUUAUUUCCAAAAUAUAUUUUCUUGUGAGGAUACAAAAUUGACUCCUAAGAAUUAAUGUAGUUUCAUAUAAAGUGUAUCUAUGUCCAAGAUUCUUUUAUUUAUUUAUCUAUUUUUAUUUGUUUCUAAAUAAUGCAUUGUUUUUUAUAUUAAAAAGAAAAAAAAAACCUUUUAAUGUCUAUCUCUUAUUUUAUAAAUAAUUUUACUUUACAACAUAAUACUAUAAAUUUAAAAAACCUCUAAUUUAAUAUUGAAGAAAAAUUGCAUUUGCAUGUACACAAUCAUAUAAUAUAAAUCAAGAGGAUAAAUAAGAAGUAAAUACCAAAGACAUGAGCAUAAGAAAAGGUGAAGAUGUAUAUAAAUUAAUAAAAUGUUUAAUGGUGAUUAUUAUAUGAUCGUGUCCUUUAAACAUUAUUAAUUUUUAAUGGAAUCAUACCAUUUUUCUUUUUUUUGUAUAAAGGUAAAAACAAACAUUGAAUUUUGUAAAAAAAUAUUUUUCAAGAAGCAUUUGCAAACAUUUUUGCAUGUAAAAAAAUUCUAGAUGUUAACACUUUUGCAACUUAUAUUAAUUAGAUAAUUACCAACAUGUAUGUUAGACUUGACAAUUUAAGUAAUAAAAAUUUAUGCUUGAUAAUGCAAAUUAACACCAAGUACCAUGGAAAAAUAAAGGAAAAAUGAGUGUCUCUCGUGUUUGUAGGUGAUAAAUAGUUAUUAAAUAAACAACAAUAUUUAUAUUUUUUUUAAUUUUCAUAAAUUUUCAUUUCAUGAUAGUAGAAUGCAUAUCAUCCUACCAGAUAAAAUAAAUGUAAAAUUAGGGAAAGAUUAACAAGCAAAGUUGAAAUGAAGUAAUAUAUAAGUCUUGCUUUACAUGUAGUGGCCUUCUCUUUAAUAUAUUUUGUGCUUAAUAUGCCAUUGAGUUCAUGAGAUGUUUCAAUUAAUUAUCUAUGAAUUAAAGUGUGGGGGAAGAGAAAGACUAAUAUGCUUAUUGGAAACAUAAACGUACUUUAGACAAUUAUCUUCUUUUUUUUUUUUCUUUUUUCCUCUUUCACAUAAGGUAGUGGUGUUUACUCAUAAAUUUUUCCAUGUUCUUUAGUAGGUAGAGAUAUUUUUAAGUCAAGUUAAUUGAUAUUAAAAACAUAGACCUUGGUCAAUUAUCCCUUUUCUUCUCUUUCACAUAAGGUAAGGGCGUACAUUGAUAUUUCUAUGUCUUUUGCAAAGGAUUAUACUUAAGCGGUAAUCUUUUAAGUUAUGAUAAUUAAACUUAAUAAUACAAAAACUAGGUAUGGUAUGUGAAAAUAAACAAAAAAAAAAAGGAAUCUAUCAUGUUACUAACUGAAAAAUAGUGAUUAAAUGAAAAAAAUAAAUACAAUAAUAGGGGAAAGACAACAAGAAAGAUUGAACAAAAAGUAAUAAAGUCUUGCUUUAUUAGAAAGUAAAGUUGAAUUGUGGAUGUCUCAAUCCACUAGCUUGACUUCAAAAGCGAAGAUAUAAUGGGUUAUGAUGAUUAUACUUGAGUGGUAAUCUUUUAAGUUUUGAUAAUUAAACUUAAUAAUACAAAGACUAGGUAUGGUAUGUGAAAAUAAACAAAAAAAUAAAAAUAAAAAUAAAAAAGGAAUCUCUCAUGUCACUAAGUGAUAAAUAGAGAUUAAAUGAAAAUAAAAAAUAUAAAAAUAGGGGAAAGACAACAAGAAAGGCUGACCAAAAGUAAUAAAGUCUUGCUUUAUUAGAAAGUAAAGUUGAAUUGUGGAUGUCUCAAUCCACUAGCUUGACUUCAAAAGCGAAGAUGUAAUGGGUUAUGAUGAUUAUACUUGAGUGGUAAUCUUUUAAGUUAUGAUUAUUAAACUUAAUAAUACAAAGACUGUGUAUGGUAUGUGAAAAUAAAAAAUAAAAAAAUAAAAAAGAAAUCUCUCAUGUUACUAAGUGAUAAAUACUGAUUAAAUAAAAAUAAAUAAAUAUAAAAAUAGGGGAAAGACAACAAAAAAUGUUGAACAAAAAGUAAUAAAGUCUUGCUUUAUUAGAAAGUAAAGUUGAAUUGUGGAUGUCUCAAUCCACUAGCUUGACUUCAAAAGCGAAGAAGUAAUGGGUUAUGAUGAUUAUACUUGAAUGGUAAUCUUUUAACAUGUGAUAAUUAAACUUAAUAAUACAAAGACUAUGUAUGGUAUGUGCAAAAAAAUAAAAAUAAAAAAAGAGUCUCAUGUUACUUGGUGAUAAAUAGUGAUUAAAUGAAAACAAAUCAAUAUAAAUAUAGGGGAAAGUCAACUAGAAAGGUUAAACAAAAAGUAAUAAAGUCUUGCUUUAUUAGAAAGUAAAGUUGAAUUGUGGAUGUCUCAAUCCACUAGCUUGACUUCAAAAGCAAAGAUAUAAUGGGCUAUGAUGAUUAUAUUGGUUUGGUAAUCUUUUAAGUUAUGAUAAUUAAACUUAAUAAUACAAAGAAUAGGUAUGUUAUGUGAAAAUAAACAAAAAAAUAAGGAAUCUCUCAUGUUACUAAGUGAUAAAUAGUGAUUAAAUGAAAAUAAAUAAAUAUUAAAAUAGGGGAAAAACAACAAGAAAGGUUGAAAAAAAGUAAGAAAGUCUUGCUUUAUUAGAAAGUAAAGUUGAAUUGUGAAUGUCUCAAUCCACUAGCUUGACUUCAAAAGCGAAGAAGUAAUGGGUUAUGAUGAUUAUACUCUAAUGGUAAUCUUUUAAGUUAUGAUAAUUAAAGUUAAUAAUACAAAGACUGUGUAUGGUAUGUGAAAAUAAACAAAAAUAAAAAAAGAAUCUCUCAUGUUACUAAGUGAUAAAUAGCGAUUAAAUGAAAACAAAUAAAUAUAAAAAUAGGGGAAGGACAAUAAGAAAGUUUGAACAAAAAGUAAUAAAAUCUUGCUUUAUUAGAAAGUAAAGUUGAAUUGUGGAUGUCUCAAUCCACUAGCUUGACUUCAAAAGUGAAGAAGUAAUGGGUUAUGAAGAUUAUACUUGAAUGGUAAUCUAUUAAGUUAUGAUAGUUAAACUUAACAAUACAAAAACUAUGUUUGGUAUGUGAAAAUAAACAAAAAAAAUUAAAAUAAAAAAAGAAUCUCUCAUGUUACUAGGUGAUAAAUAGUGGUUAAAUGAAAACAAAUAAAUAUAAAAUUAGGGAAAGACAACAUGAAAGGUUGAACAAAAAGUAAUAAAGUCUUUCUUUAUUAGAAAGUAAAGUUGAAUUGUGGAUGUCUCAAUCCAUUAGCUUGACUUCCAAAGCGAAGAUGUAAUGGGUUAUGAUGAUUAUACUUGAGUGAUAAUCCUUUAAGUUAUGAUAGUUAAACUUAAUAAUACAAAGACUAGGUAUGGUAUAUGAAAAUAAACAAAAAAAAAAUAAAAAUAAAAAUAAAAAGGAAUCUCUCAUGUUUCUAAGUGAUAAAUAGUGAUUAAAUGAAAACAAAUAAAUAUAAAAAUAGGGGAAAGACAACUACAAAUGUUGAAUAAAAAAGUUGAAUUGUGGAUGUCUCAACUCACUAGUCGGACUUCAGAAGCGAAGAUGUAAUGGGUUAUGAUGAUUAUACUUGAGUGGUAAUCUUUUAAGUUAUGAUAAUAAACUUAAUAAUACAAAGACUAGGUAUGGUAUGUGAAAAUAAACAAAAAAUAAAAAGAGAAAUAAAAAGGAAUCUCUCAUGUUUCUAAGUGAUAAAUAGUGAUUAAAUGAAAAUAAAUAAAUAUAAAAAUAGGGGAAAGACAACUAGAAAGGUUCAACAAAAAGUAAUAAAGUCUUGCUUUAUUAGAAAGUAAAGUUGAAUUGUGGAUGUCUCAAUCCACUAGCUUGACUUCAAAAGCGAAGAUGUAAUAUUGCUUUAUGUGCUUGAAAUCAUAAGAUGGUUUGAUUUAUUACUUAUGAAUGAAGGAAUUAGGUAGACUAAUAUGGUUUUAUGACCGUUGAAAAGGAAAAAGAAAAAAAAAAACAAAAGAUAUUGUAAUAUCUCUUACUUAUUCUUUGCUUGGGGGAUAUGUCUUAGUUGAUUGGCUUAACUUUGAACCAUUAUACAAAAGAACUUAUGAUAUAAUGAUUUUGCACAAAAAAAAAAAAAAAAACAAAAAAGCAAAAUUAUGAAUGUAACUAUAAAAGCCAAUACAACUAUAGUUCUAAAAUUUUAUUUCCAAAAUAUAUCUUCUUGCAAGGAUACAAAAUUGACUCUUAAGAAUUAAUAUAGUUUCAUAUUAAGUGUAUCUAUGUGCAUAAUUUAUUUAUUUAUUUAUUUAUUUUUUCAAAUGAUGUGUUGUUUUUUAUAUUAAAAGAAAAAAAAUUUAAUGUCAAUAUCUUAUUUUAUAAAUAAUGUUGCUUUACAACAUAACACAAUAAAUUUAAAAAGUCUUUUUUUAAUGUUGAAGAAAAAUUGCAUUUGCAUGUAUGCAAUCAUAUAAUACAAAUCAAGAGGGUAUAUAAGAAGUAAAUACUGAAGACACGGGCUUAAAAGAAGGUGAAGAUGUACAUAAAUUAGUAAAAAGUUUAAUGAUUAUGAUUAUAUGAUUGUGUCCUCUAUACUUUAUUGAUUUUUUAAUGGAAUCACACAAAUUUUCUUUUCUUGUAAAAAAGUAAAACCGAACAUUGAUUUUUUAUUUAUUUAUAAAAAUAAGAAGUAUUUGCAAACAUUUUUGCAUGUAAAAAAAAUCAUUGAAGCUAGCACUUUCACCAAAAGAAUCUACAAAUGCAUCGACUUGCAACUUCUAUUAAUCAGAUAGAAUUACCACUUCAUAUGUUACACUUGACAAUUUAAGUAGUGAAAAUUUGAUGAAAAACUUUAUACUUGACAAUACGUUUGUAACAAUUUGGUAAAAUUUUUUAUUAGUGGUAAUCUUAUGAGAUAUGAUAAUUAGACUUGAUAAUGCAAAUAAAACACUAAGUACCAUGGGAAAAUGAAGGAAAAAGGAUUGUCUCUUGUGUUUUUAAGUGACAAAUAGCAAUAAAAUAAAAAACAAUAUAUAUAUUAAUUUUCAUAUUUUUUUUUUCAUUAUAGUGGCAUGCAUAUUAUCUUACAAGGUAAAAUAAAUGUAAAAUUAGGGGAAAGACUAACAAGAAAAGUUGAAAAAAAGUAAUAUAUAAGUCUUGCUUUAUAUGUAAUGGUCUUCUCUUUAAUAUAAUUUGUGUUUUAUAUGCCAUUGAGUUCAUGAGAUGUUUCAAUUAAUUAUUUAUGACUUAAAGCUUUAGAUAGACGUGUGGGAAGGGAGAGACUAAUUAAUAAGCAUUGGAAACAUAGACUUUGGAUAAUUAUCUCAUUUUCUUGUUCUUUUAAACAUGGUAAUGAUAAACACACAUACGUUUUUUUUAGUAAGUAGAGAUAUUGUCAAGUUGAGUCAAUUGACAUUGAAAAUAUAGAUAUUGGACAAUUAUUUCUUUUUCUUCUCUUUCAGACAUGGUAGAGGCAUACAUUGAUAUUUCUAAGUCUUUUACAAAGUAUACACUACCUUUUUCUUUUUUAGUUUUUUUGGGUCAAGUCAAUAGAUUAGUGGGUGGAGGAAAAACAACAAACUAACAAACAUGAACCUUAGAUUAUUACUUUUUUCUCUUUCACACAUGAUAGUGGUCCUAGUUCAUAAAUUUUUCUAUGUCCUUUAAUUGGCAAGGAUAGAGACUCUUCAUUUUUAUCUCUCAUGUUGUUAGUUUCCAUCUUUAAUAUCUUAGAUUUUUUUUUUAAUUUUAUCUUUAACUUGUAGCUUGGUGGAAAGCCAAUUUAUUGUGACUUGUAAGCCAUCUUGGAAUUUAAAAAAUAAAAAUAAAAUUAUAGAUACAUCAUCUUGGAAUUUAAGGUUUAAAAAGGCUUUGUGUGUUGGAACUACAUGAUUUGGUAUUAAUAAUAAUUUAAUAUAAAUAUUUUAUUUUAUUUUGCUCUCGUUGCAUCAAUAUAAUAACAAACUUAUAUUUAUACUAAACAAAUCAUCAUUGUACUAUGACCUUAUUUGAUAAUUACACUAAGUGUCUUAAUUAACAUAAUAAUCCUAAAUAAAUAAAAAUUUUCUAAUAUUUUUCAAAUUCUUAAAAUACUUUUAAUUUCAAUUGAAGUUAGAUAACUAAUUUCAAUAGCCCUCCUUGAGUCAAGCUUUAAAGUCAAUCAUACAAAAUAACAUCUUCAUCUUUUGUACAUAUUCGCCUUUAAUGGGUUUGUAAAAGAUAACUACAAUUUCAUCUUUUGAUUUGCCAAACCCAAGCUUUAUCUUACCAUUUCGUGAGUUCUCUAAUAUGAUGAAACUUGAUUCUUAUAUGCUUCUACAAUGAAAUAUUAGAUUCUUUGUUAUUGGUAUAGCAAACUUAUUAUCACACAAAAUCUUUGUAGUACAUUUUAAUUUAUGCUUUAACUCACUAAGAAUCCUAUGAAGCUAAGCUACUUGACAUGCUAUCAAAUUCACUACCAUGUAUUUAGCUUUUGUAGUGAUAAUGCUACAACUUGCUAAUUCUUUGAUGAUCGUGAGAAUGCUCUUGUUCCAAGAUAAAAAAAACAUAUCUAAUAGUCCUCGUUCUAGUCUUUACAUCACCUCCUUAGUCACUAUCAAUGUAACCCACUAAAUUAAAAUUGCUUAGUAAGAGUAAAAAAUUCCAUGAUCAAGAGUACCAUUGAUAUACAUAAAAUUCCCUUUGUUGCUUGCUAAUGUGUCUACUAUGGUUUUUCCAUAAAUUGAUUGAUAAUUCCCACUCCACAAACAAUAUUUGUCCAAUAUAAAUCAAACAACAAAAACUUUCCACUAUGCCCUUGAAAUAUGUGAAAUUUAAUAAUUCUCUAAUGUCUUCCUUUUUCAUCUUUAAUUGCUUUGUAAUAGGAGACUAAAUUGUUGAUAAUUAUUUCAUCUCGAAUAAUUUUCGAAUGUUUAUAACAUACUUCUCUUGUGAGAUGAAAAUAUCAUCAUUUGUUUGUUGGACCUCAAUUCCAAGAAAAUAGGACAUUAAUCCUAAAUCUAUCAUCUCAAUUUACUAUGUCAUUGUUGUUGGGAUAGAACCCUAGAAAGUAUGCAUGACAUGAUGUAUUCAUUAAUAAAUUUAUUUAUUUAUGAUGUUGGUUUUCUUUUAUUAUCCUAUUUUCAUUAAUUGGUUAUCUAAACAUUUAUGCCCACUAGCACUUUUAAAUCAUAUUUAUUUAUAUCAUAGUCUCAUUUAAUUUGUGUAUACUUUGUAGUUUGGUCUCAAAUGUUUGUACCGUUAUCCAACGGUGUAAAUUUUAUCACACACAUUCAAUGGCCCAAUGUGGACUCCAAUAGGUACUUAUGUACUUUAGUAUAUUCCUUAGAUAGAUAUAGUACCUUAGAUAAAUAUAGUAACUUUUAUAUAAAAAAUGAUCCUACUGAAAGUUUACUUUUAAAAGUUUUAUGUAAAAUUUACUAUUAUUUUUUAUUUUUUUAAAAAUAGAAAAUAAAAAAUAUAUCUAAACAACACCUAAAUUAAUAAAUAAUAUUUUUAUAUUCAAUUUAUUUUAUUCAUCUAAAUUUUAAUAACCAUUUACCAAGUUAAAAGGUCAUAAAAAAGAUUAAGAAUAUCAUACUUUGAUUAAUUAUUUAUAAUCAAUAAAAUAUAAAUAUUCUUAAUCGAAGUUUUGUUUUAAUUAGAUAAGUCUAACAUUAUUUCAUAACUAAUUCUAAGUCUCAUUUUUAUUUUUAUUUUUAUUUUCAAAAUGAAACCAUAAUCCUUUUGAACUAUGCCAUUGAGAUGGGUAUCAUUUAAACACAAUGAUGUUAUUGUUUAUCACUUUUAUGGGGGUAGUAUGUUAAACCUAUAUAUUUCACUUCAUUUCAUUUUUAUUAUAACAAGGGUGAUGCUAAUCGUACUCGUCUUUUCUAUUUGUACACUUAGGUGGUGUUUGUUUUUUGGCUGAACAGAAAAAGUCAAAAUAUUUGUCUUUUCUUAUUCAGUUAAAAAUAACAUGUUGACAUCAUCCAACAUAACUAAACUGAACCUAUUGAUAACAAGUUCAUUUUAGCUAUGUUGGAUGAUGUCAACAAGUUACUUUUAGCUUAAUAGAAAAAACCAAAUAUUUUGGUUUUUUCUAUUCAGCCAAAAAACAAACACCACCUUAGCCUCAUUUGAAAAAAAACAAAGAAAAGUAGGUGUAAAGAGAAAAAAAAAAGGUGGGUACAAUUAUUAUUUUCUUUAUGGUAAACAUAAAUACUUGCAUAAUAGUGGCCUUCGAGGUAAUGAGGGAAAAGUCCUCACUCAAUUCCUUGCGGAAUAGCAGACUUUUUGAGGUAUAACGAGAGUUUGAAGAGGUAAAGGCCUUACUCUAUUCCUGCCCUUCAGUAAGGAAUAAUGGCCUUAAUUUUUUAUUUUUUAUUUGGGUCAAAGCCUGACUCUAUUCUUGCCUUUCAGUUAGGAAUAGCCGCUUUGGAGAAGGGUAAGAAUAAUGAGUGAAGUCCUUACUCUAUUCCUAGCGGAAUAGCAGACUUUGGUUAUUAGGGAGAGGCCUUACUUUAUUCCCUUCAAGAAUAGCAGCCUUGGUUGAAGAGAAGUUGUAGCUCACAAUUUCUUACCACAUUGAAUGAAUCAAUUUCUUACCAUAUUUCUUUCAUUUCCUAUGAAGAAAAAUUAAUAAUCAGGUCAUAAGUUAGUUGGAAACUAAAGUAAUGAUGUAAUCAACUUCUUUUUUUUCCUAAGUUUGUGAAGAUGUCUUGAUUAAUAUGUUUUUCUUUGUAAUGAAGUUUCAAUAGGUUGAUAUAACUUAAAAUAAGAGAUCAAAUAUUUGUAAUUAUUUUCGCACCUCGAUUCAUAGAACAUCUUUCAAUUCUUCCUCAUUUGUCAUUAAUUAAUAAUUAAAUUUGAUUUUGGAUCCGGAUGUGUUCAUGAAUUUACAUAAGUUGAGCUUAAUUAAAGCCAUCAUACAUAGGAAGAUCAAACAUUUGAAAAUAUACUAAUAAUAUAAGAAUUUAUAUAAUUGGUUAAGAGAAUUUUUAUAAGAAUUGAUAACAUUUAAAAGAAAAAACAGUUUAAUAUUGGGUUAUAUACUUUUCUAAUACAAAAAUUGUUAUGUAAAAAUUAUGAAUUUGACUCUUCAAUAAAUAAAAGCUACAACUUCUUAACCAUAAAAAUAAAUAAAUAAAUAAAAUAAAAAUUAUGAAUUUGACUCUUCAAUAAAUAAACCAACUACCCAAACAAUGCCCUAAAAAGAAUACAUGCAGGGAGCUUUGCCUUCAUCAACCUCUCUUAAAUUUGGAGCCACUUUGCCCCCUUUUUUAAGGGUAAAACUUAGGUAACGCUCAUAAUUAUUUAUUUUCAAAAUCACUUCAUUUAUUAUAUAAUAUGUUAUUAAACAUAUUAUUAUUACUUACAUUAAUUGAUUCUCUGUGAAUGAGAAAGGAAUGGCAGCACCUAAAGUGGCUGGAAAAAUAUGAGCAACGACGGUACAGUAGGGUCUGUUUGGUAGUUGGUUUGAAAAAUAAAUCAGAAAAAUAAUUUUUGAAAAUAAUUUUUUAGAUUUUAUAGAAUAAAAAUCUAUUUAAAUACUUAAAAUAUUUUUAAAAAUAAUUUUUAUACUUAAUUAUUUUACAUGUUUAUGUAAUUAUUUUUUUAAAAUAACAUUAAAAAAAUAAAUGAAAGUAAUAUAAAACACUUGAAAUAUGUUAUCCGAAAAUAUUUUGUUUUUUGUGUUUUAUUGAUAAACGUGUUUUUUCUUUAAGAAAAAAAAAAAAAAAACCGUUGUUAAAAACAGUUCUGAAACAGGAACUAAGUUAUUGCUUUCAAAUUAUGUUUUUGUUUAACACUUUUAAACAGUAUUUUCUUAUGUUUUAAGAAUUGGAAUUAGAAUCAGCAGAAGAAGCGUUUUUUAAAAAUAUAAAAAUAAAAUCGAAGUGCAUUGAAGAUGCUAAAGCCCAAAUGCAUCAGGGAAUGUGCUGAGUGACUGAGUCACUCGGUCGGAUCCCCAUCCCUCUAGUGAAAGCCUCAGAUCUAAGAUGAAACUAAUCCAACGGUCCGGAUAAUUUCACCCACAAACCCCGACCUCUCCCUAUAAUCUAUAUGCCUUGCAGAACCUCACACGUCACCAAAAUAUACGAAAAAUUCCCGUGUCAGCGUCCAACAGCGAACCAAGGCAUAUUUUCCUGCAACAUCUCAGCCGUCCAUUGUCUGGGUCCCAUUUUACCAUGUACGGCUCAGAUGUAUAGGCAAAAUCUUUAUAGGUACCCAGCGACGGACUCUGGGGCAAUGUUUUCAGAACCGGACCGGUGAUCGAACCGGAAAAGUUACCGGUUCACGGUUCACUGGUCGGACCGGCGGUCGAACCGCUAUUGAACCGGUGACGUCAUAAAUAUAUAAUUUAUAUAUUAUUAAAAUUAAAAAUAAUUAUAAAAAUUUUAAAAUAUAUAUGAAUAAAUUGAAAAUCAAUAAUAUUAUCAAAUUAAAUCAUAUUAAUAUUUUUAAUUUUAUUAAAUGAGAUAUGUAAAAUAUUUAAAUGUGAAAAUAUUAAAAAUGAAAAUUUAAACUAAUUUUAUCAUUUUUAAAAAUAUUAUAUUAUUUUUAUUUAACAUUACAAAAAAAAUUUAAAAUCUAAUAUAUAUUAUUUUGUUUAGCAUAUUAGGUAACAAAAGCCGUGUAGCUGGAGUGGUGCCUAGGCUGCCUUCCGAAACAGGGGUCCAAGGUUCAAUUCCUCUUGGCUGGGGACUUGUUAUUAUUUUUUUCAUUGCUUAGGUUGGUUAGGAAUCCCACAUCGGAUUCUAAGAGAAAUGAGGAUGCAAAGGGUGCCUAUAAAUGCUAUCCACAUUGAAGACCAAAGCAUUGCUUCACUGGGUGGGCUGAAAAGUAAGCCCACAAUAUGAUUGAGUGGGGUUUGGGCUUUGUCAUGAUGAGACAAGGCCCAAAAUGGGCAUUUGCCAAAACAUUUUUAUGCAAUGAGCCUUUAAAAUGGAGGUUCAAAUUGAACCGUUCGGUUCAAUUAGAACCGUCCGGUUCAACCGAGUCGCCGGUCCGACCGCCGGUUUUGGCGGUUCGUGGCCGGUUUAAACCUUAAGCUGUUCAAUAGGGCAGACCGGACCGGAAUUGUGACCGGUCGACGGUUGAACCGGUUGGACCGGCCGGUCCGGUCCGGUUUUUAAAACAUUGCUCUGGGGACUCUCUUUCGUCUUUUUUUUUUUUUUUUUCUUUUUCUCCUUUCCUCCUCUGUGGCGGCUCUAAGCUUUUUUUGGGUACCGAGCUUCACGCUCGAUACAGAAACCCUAACUGCUCGUACUAUACAAAACCAAACCGCAUAUUAGAGCUUCGGCGACACAGCAAUGGAGGUUUCCCUAGGAAGACGCCACCACACUUUUCUAUAUGAUUUAUCCACAUUAAGAAAAAAGUAGAAUCCGAAAAUGUCAUGCAGGAGACCAUUUUUAUUUAAAAUUAUGCUUCCUUUUUAAAGUGGAAGGAAUCUAGGUACUGCGUUCAUAUGGUAGAGUCAAACUUUCCAGGCAAAAACAGAUACUAUAUAUAUAUAUAUAUAUAUAUAUAUAUAUGUGAGUGCUUGGUCUCCUGGGAAUUCAUAAGAAAAAACCAACAGUUGCAAAGCCUCUCUUCUAUUACUUGCAGACCAUGGCAGGACGGUCCUUUCAACACCUUCUUAGCUUUCUUAUGCUUUUGUUGCUAUGUGCCAAACCUGGCAUGGGGAAUGUUACUGGGUGCAUAGAGAGGGAGAGACAAGCUCUCCUUCACUUCAAACAUGGCCUUGUGGAUGACUUUGGCCUUCUUUUCUCAUGGGGAGACGACAACAGAGAUUGUUGCCAAUGGAGAGGAGUCCAGCGUAGUAACCAGUCAGGUCACAUCAUCAUGCUUCAUCUUCCUGCCCCGCCAAAUGAAGAAUAUGAUGAAUAUGGUAUUUACCAAUCUCUUAGAGGCGAUAUAAGUCCUUCGCUGCUUGAAUUGGAGCACUUGACUCAUUUGGAUCUCAGCUGUAAUGAUUUUGAAGGGAGGCACAUACCUCCAUUCCUUGGUUCCCUCAGCAGAAUGCAGUACCUCAAUCUCUCUCAGGCCAAUCUCGCUCAAACUGUUCCCACUCAACUGGGGAAUCAUUCCAACUUGCUUUCCCUUGAUCUCAGCGAUAAUUAUUUGAAUUUUGGGAACCUUGAGUGGCUUUCUCGUCUUUCUUCUUUUAAGACACCUUGACCUGAGUUCUGUCGACCUUAGUAAAGUCAUCCACUGGUCCCACGCAAUUAAUAAACUCCCUUCUCUCAUUCACUUGGAUUUACAAAAUUGUGGUCUCCCUCCCAUCCCUCCACUCAUCAUUCCGUCUCUUUCCCAUGUGAAUUCCUCUGUCCCUCUUGUUUUCCUUGAUCUCUCUAGGAAUUAUCUCACUUCUUCAAUAUAACCAUGGCUGCUCAACUUUAGUACCACCCUCCUUCAUCUUGAUCUCUCGUUCAGUGAUUUAAACGGUUCGAUUCUGAAAUAUGCUUUUGGGAACAUGAGUUCCCUUGAAUAUCUUAAUCUCCAUUCGAGUGAACUUGAUGAUGAGAUUCCGGAUACAAUUGGAGACAUGGGAUCACUUGCAUAUCUUGAUCUCUCUUGCAAUCAACUGCAGGGCUCAAUUCCAAAUACAAUUAGGAAGAUGGUUUUACUUUCACAUCUUGAUCUCUUUCGCAAGCAACUGCGGGGCUCAAUUCCAGAUACAGUUGGGAAGAUGGUUUUACUUUCACGUCUUAAUCUUUCUGGCAAUCAACUGCAGGGCUCAAUUCCACAUACAGUUGGGAAGAUGGUUUUACUUUCACAUCUUGAUCUCUCUGGCAAUCAACUACAGGGCUCAAUUCCAAAUACAGUUGGGAAGAUGGUUUUACUUUCACAUCUUGAUCUCUCUCGCAAUCAAUUGCAGGGCUCAAUUGCAGAUACAGUUGGCAACAUGGUUUCUCUUGGAAAACUCUAUCUCUCUUUGAAUCAUCUUCAAGGUGAGAUUCCAAAAUCCUUGAGUAAUUUAUGUAACUUACAAGCAUUAGAGUUGGAUAGAAACAAUAUCUCUGGACAGCUUGCACCAGACUUUGUGGCCUAUGCAAAUGACACAUUAGUGACUUUGUCUUUAUCAGCAAACCAGUUCAGUGGAUCAGUUCCUGCUCUCAUUGGAUUUUCAUCCUUGAGAGAGUUACAUCUUGAUUUUAAUCAACUAAAUGGAACUUUACCUAAAGGUCUUGGACAGUUGUCCAACCUUCAAUCCUUGGAUAUUGCCUCAAAUUCAUUGCAAGGCACUAUCAAUGAAGCCCAUCUCUUUAAUCUAUCCCAGUUGUCCUAUUUAGACUUAUAUUAGCUUCCAACUCUCUCACUUUCAACAUGAGCUUGGAGUGGGUUCCUCCAUUUCAACUGCUUCAUCUACUAUUAGCCUCCUGCAAAUUAGGACCUCUUUUUCCUAGUUGGCUUCGUACUCAAAACUCGUUGAGAGAGCUUGAUAUCUCCAAUUCUGAAAUUUCAGAUGUCCUCCCAGACUAGUUCUGGAAUGUAACCAUCUCAACUGUCAGAACCUUGAGUAUUUCCAACAAUCAGAUCAAAGGAACCUUACCGAAUUUAUCAUCAAAAUUUGGUUAUGUAUCUAACAUAGAUAUGAGCUCAAACUGUUUUGAGGGUUCAAUACCACAACUUCCUUAUGACGUGCAAUGGUUGGAUCUCUCCAAUAACAAGUUCUCAGGGUCCAUUUCUUUAUUAUGUACAGUGGGUAAUCAGUUACUUCUACUUGACCUCUCAAACAACUCGUUGUCGGGAGGGCUGCCCAAUUGUUGGGCACAGUGGGAAAGUUUGGCAGUUCUUAAUUUGGAAAGUAACAGAUUUUCUGGGCAAAUUCCAAAUUCAUUUGGCUCUUUGCAAUCAAUUCAAACACUACAUUUGCGCAAUAAAAAUUUAACCGAAAAAUUGCCUUUAUCUUUUAUGAAUUGUACAAGUUCGAGGUUCAUUGAUUUGGCAAAAAAUAGGUUAUUGAUUACUACUCAAAAAGGGCUAUUUGAUAGCUUGUAAUUAACUCUUUUAAACAAUUUUGAGUAGUAGUUAUUGCCUUUUAACCCAAUUAGCAUAUUGAGGACCUUUGCAAUCACUUCUAAUCAUUUUGUGUAAGUUUUGGUGUUUUUGUUAGUAAUUUGAUCACCAAAGCAACCCAAGGUGGAGGAGAGUUAUUUGGAAUCCAUGGCAAAGCAAUGGAAAGCUCAGAAACAUGAAGAAUCAGAGCUUUAAAGCCUUAAAGUCCUUUGCCAUAACCAAUCCGGAAUGCAAGGAGGAGAAGUAAAGAGAGAAUCUACCUUGAAGCAUUCUUGAUGACAGUCAUUUCAGCCACUUUUGGAUUACUUCCUGAAGUCCAAUUUAUGCAUGCUUUAUGUCGUUUCGAAGAUCGGGAAGUCAAAAAUCCAAUGCUUCAAACGGUUCGCAAAUCAGAGUUGAAAUGAAAAAGUUAGAGCCAAUGGAAGCAGAUCACUCCAAGCUGAAGGCCAAUUUCGCAGGGCUGCGAAAUCAGCCUUCGGCUGCGAAAUGAUUUCGCAGCCAUCUUGUUCGUCUGCGAAAUUUCGCAGCCAUUUUGUGCGCCUGCGAAAUUCUCCUGAGUGCUUCCAGAUAUUUGCGACCAACGUUUUUUGUUAUUUUGCCUCAGAUAUUUGUUGUCUAAAUCCCAAUUCUCUCCUUGUAAUCCACCAAUUAGAUGAUUCCUUAGUUGUUAAGCAAGGAUACAGGGGUAAACAACCUGUUAUAUAUUGUUUUGUAAGUUUCAUUUUAAGGGUCGUCGGGGAAUUUUCUCCAGAAGACCAUCUUUUGUAAAGUUUACACUUAGCUAAAUACAGAGUAUCUUUUGCUUUCUUUUUCUCUCUUCUAUUUUCUAUUUUCUUAGUAGCCAAACAUCCUUGGAGGAUGAAAUCCCCAAGGAUGAGAGGCUAAAACCUUUUAGUUUCUUGAAGUAAUGGAUGCCAUGUGAAGCUCCCGUGUCAGGAUGGAGAUUUCCAAGCCAUGAAUGUAAGUAGCUGAGCGUCAUAAAUGUUUUCAUUCAAAGUAAAGCUUUUAAUCCCUCUGACUUGCUUUGAAUGGCCAAUACUUGAUAACCUUUUGGUCUCAGUGGAUUCUUAUUGUUAGAUCCACUGAUGUUCAUUAGUUAUCUCCUACGAGCCAUUGUAUUGCAAGUCGAGGAGAUGACCUAUAUCAUUAAAAGAGCAUUUAUGAGGUUCAACUACCCUUUUUGUAAGUUUUCAAGGACUAAAACUCAGUUGUUAAACUCAUACCGGUUCGGGAAGUAAGCAUCACCUUAGUUGCUUCCCCAACUCGAGGUGAAAAGUCCCAAAAUCUCCAUUUUUACACAGUGAGUUAAGCAUGGCUAUCCAAAGCUUUGAGAAACUUCUUUUUCCAUCUUUUAACCUAUUUUCAUGUUAGUUUAGUUUACACACCUUCAUCUUUUUAUGUUUUCAUCUUAACCUAAUUUUUAUUAAGAAAAGUUCACUCCAUCCUCCGAACUUCACCAGUUAAAGUAAAAACCCUUCCCAGUGUUCGAUCCUAGAGCCACUAUGCUAUAGUAGCUUUGCUACUUUAGUGUAAGGACCUUAGGUAUAAAUUUUGUUGAUACCCUUACAUGCCAAGCUACCAAGAGUCGGGUUAUCAAAUGGCGCCGUUGCCGGGGAGGGUGCUACUUCACUGUGAAUAUAUCAGCCGGAGGUAACUUGUGAGACUUCUCAUGAGUAAGGUGAAUUCUAUCUCAUUUUUCAUUUACUAACUUUUUAUUUUAGUUUUAGAACAUUUUUAACUUAGUUUAGAUAAGUUUCUUUUAGCUUUUAACUUUCAUUUUUAGUUUAUUUUUCAUACUCUGUUUUUCCUUCCGCAUGCUCUGUUUUUUUUUCUUUUUCUUUGUUUUGUUUGUUUACUUUGUUCCAGCUGAAUCCGUGCAUGCCCUAUUGGAUUAGAGACCAAGAGGGAAGGUUAGUGCGGAUAGAGACUCCACGAGCUAUUGAAUUAGAGAUUAUUUUAAAAGUCAUGGAGAAUCAGCCAGAGGAUCAACAUUCACAACACGGGCAGGGGAAUGAUCCGAACUUGUAUAGGUCCAUGAGGGACAGGAUGCACCCUCCGAGGAUGAGUGCACCAUCUUGCAUCAUUCCUCCUACAGAGCAAUUGAUUAUCAGGCCACACAUCGUGCCUCUGCUUCCUACUUUCCAUGGGAUGGAAAGUGAAAAUCCAUAUGCGCACAUAAAGGAAUUCGAAGAUGUGUGCAAUACUUUUCAAGAAGGGGGAACAGCUAUUGAGCUUAUGAGGUUGAAGCUCUUUCCAUUCACAUUAAAGGACAAAGCCAAGAUAUGGCUCAAUUCCUUGAGGCUGAGAAGCAUAAGAACAUGGACAGAACUUCAGGCUGAUUUUUUGAAGAAGUUUUUCCCUACUCACAGAACAAAUGGAUUGAAGAGACAAAUCUCCAACUUCUCAGCACGUGAGAAUGAAAAAUUUUAUGAAUGCUGGGAGAGGUAUAUGGAAGCCAUCAAUGCAUGUCCUCACCACGGCUUUGAUACAUGGUUUUUGGUGAGCUAUUUUUAUGAUGGCAUGUCAUCUUCAAUGAAGCAGAUAUUGGAGACAAUGUGUGGGGGCGAUUUCAUGAGCAAGAACCCUGAGGAGGCUAUGGAUUUCCUAAGUUAUGUCUCAGAGGUCUCCUGUGGAUGGGAUGAGCCCACUAACAGAGAAAUGGGGAAGAGGCCAGUUCAGCAAAUGUCAAAAGGGGGGAUGUACAAUCUGAGUGAAGACAUGGAGAUGAAAGCCAAGGUGGCUGCCAUGGCUAGACGAAUAGAGGAAAUGGAGUUGAGAAAAGUUCACGAAGUCCAAGCUAUUUCAGAGCCUCAACAACCAGCCAAUCCUUGCUCCAUAUGUCAGUCAUUUGAACAUAUGGUGGAAGAAUGUCCCACCAUUCCAGCAGCAAGAGAAAUGUUUGGGGAACAAGCUAACCUGAUUGGCCAAUGGAAGCCAAAUUCAAAUGCUCCCUAUGGCAACACGUACAACUCUAGCUGGAGGAACCACCCAAACUUUGCAUGGAAGCCAAGGCCAAACCCAUAUCAGUCACCAGCCCAAUCAAGCCAACAGAGUCAAGGUCAAUCCUCAGUUGAGCAAGCACUCAUAAGCCUUAGCAAGGUUAUGGGUGACUUUGUGAGUGAGCAAAAAUCCAUCAACUCUCAACUAAAUCAGAAGAUUGACAACGUAGAGAGUACAUUGAACAAGAAGAUAGAUGGGAUGCAUAAUGAGUUGUCUCAGAAAAUUGACAACAUCCAAUAUUCCAUCUCAAGGCUCACAAAUUUGAACACUGUUAAUGAGAAAGGAAAGUUUCCCUCUCAGCCUCACCAAAAUCCUAAGGGGAUACAUGAAGUGNNNNNNNNNNNNNNNNNNNNNNNNNNNNNNNNNNNNNNNNNNNNNNNNNNNNNNNNNNNNNNNNNNNNNNNNNNNNNNNNNNNNNNNNNNNNNNNNNNNNCAAGAGGUAGUAAGGGCUGAAGUGUUGAAGCUUCUUCAAGCGGGCAUCAUUUACCCCAUUUCGGAUAGCACUUGGGUGAGUCCAACCCAAGUUGUUCCAAAGAAGUCCGGGAUAACCGUAGUCAAGGGGGAAAAUGGAGAUGAAGUGUCCACACGCCUCACAACUGGUUGGAGGGUGUGCAUUGACUACAGGAAGCUGAACGCAGUAACGAGAAAGGAUCACUUCCCUUUACCUUUCAUGGAUCAAGUCCUUGAGAGAGUAUCUGGGCAUCCUUUUUAUUGCUUCUUGGAUGGGUAUUCCGGGUAUUUUCAAAUAGAGAUUGCUGUGGAGGACCAGGAGAAGACUACCUUCACUUGUCCAUUCGGCACCUAUGCUUAUAGGCGGAUGCCUUUUGGAUUAUGCAAUGCUCCUGCUACCUUCCAAAGAUGCAUGCUUAGCAUCUUCAGUGACAUGGUUGAACGAAUAAUGGAAGUCUUCAUGGAUGACAUAACUGUGUAUGGGACUUCUUUUGAGGAUUGUUUGUCACAUCUUGAAGAUGUUUUGAAAAGAUGCAUAGAGAAAGACCUCGUACUCAAUUGGGAGAAGUGCCAUUUUAUGGUAAAUCAAGGUAUUGUUCUUGGGCACGUAAUCUCAAAGAAGGGUAUAGAGGUAGAUAGAGCUAAGGUGGAACUAAUUGUGAAGUUGCCACCUCCCACCAAUGUAAAAGGAAUAAGGCAAUUCCUGGGGCAUGCCGGGUUCUAUAGGAGGUUUAUAAAGGAUUUUUCCAAGAUUGCUAAACCUCUUUGUGAAUUAUUGGUGAAGGAUGCCAAGUUUGAGUGGGAUGAUAAAUGUCAAAGGAGUUUUGAGCUUCUUAAGCAAUUCUUGACAUCAGCACCCAUUGUGAGAGCACCAAAUUGGGAGUUGCCAUUUGAAGUGAUGUGUGACUCAAGUGAUUAUGCCAUUGGGGCUGUUUUGGGACAAAGAGAAGAUGGUAAACCUUAUGUGAUCUACUAUGCAAGUAAGUCUUUGAAUGAUGCUCAAAGGAAUUACACCACUACUGAGAAGGAAUUACUUGCUGUGGUGUAUGCUUUGGAUAAGUUCAGAGCUUAUUUGAUAGGGUCUUCCAUUGUGGUAUUCACGGAUCAUUCAGCUUUGAAGUAUUAGCUAACCAAGCAAGAUGCCAAGGCUAGGUUAAUUAGGUGGAUACUUUUGCUUCAAGAGUUCAACCUCCAGAUCAGAGAUAAGAAAGGUGUUGAGAAUGUGGUAGCUGACCACUUGUCAAGGCUCAACAUUGCUCAUGACACCCAUGGACUUCCCAUAAAUGAUGAUUUCCCUGAGGAAUCCUUGAUGCUUGUGGAGGAAGUGCCAUGGUUUGCACACAUUGCCAAUUACUUGGUCACGGGAGAAAUACCAAGUGAAUGGAGCUCUCAGGACAAGAAGAAUUUCUUUGCCAAGGUCCAUGCAUAUUAUUGGGAGGAGCCUUUUCUCUUCAAAUAUUGUGCGGACCAAAUUAUAAGGAAGUGUGUUCCUGAACAAGAGAAGCAUGGGAUCCUAUCUCAUUGCCAUGAGAAUGCAUGUGGAGGCNNNNNNNNNNNNNNNNNNNNNNNNNNNNNNNNNNNNNNNNNNNNNNNNNNNNNNNNNNNNNNNNNNNNNNNNNNNNNNNNNNNNNNNNNNNNNNNNNNNNUACAAUCUCAGUUAAUAUUGGAGGAACCCAAGUGGAGAAGGCAUUGCUGAUUUGGGGGCAAGUGUUAACUUGCUUCCAUACUCUGUAUACAAGGAGCUGGGGUUGGGAGAACUCAAGUCAACAUCGAUCACCCUAUCCUUAGCUGACCGAUCAGUGAAAAUCCCCAGGGGGGUAAUAGAGGAUGUAUUGGUUCAAGUUGACAAAUUCUACUAUCCAGUAGAUUUUGUGGUGCUUGAUACGGAUCCCAUUGUCAAAGGGAUCAACUAUGUUCCAAUCAUCCUUGGAAGACCAUUCCUUGCAACAUCCAAUGCAAUCAUCAAUUGUAGGAAUGGGGUCAUGCAACUCACUUUUGGGAAUAUGACAUUGGAACUCAACAUCUUCCAUCUAUGUCAAAAGCACAUCCAUCCUGAAGAAGAUGAGGGCCCAGAAGAAGUUUGUAUGAUAGAUACCCUGGUGGAGGAGCAUUGUAAUCAGAGUAUGCUUGAUCAGUUUGAAGAGAAUCCAGAUGAAAGCCAUGAAGAUCUUGAUGAUGGGUUAGCUGAACCCAUGGGAAUGAAUGCCGUUAUGUCAAACUGGAGACAAAAGCCAGUGAUCCUCCCUUUGUUCAAGGAUGAGGAAGAGAUGAAAGAAGCUAAGGAUGUAAUCCUUAAGCUUGAAUUGAAGACCCUUCCUACCGAGUUGAAGUAUGCUUACUUGGAGGAAGGCAAUAAAGCCCCGGUGGUAAUUUCUUCUUCUUUAACCGUUUUACAAGAGGACAAUCUUCUAAGAAUCCUUAGAAAGCACAAGAAGGCAAUCGGAUGGCAAAUUUCUGAUUUGAAGGGGAUAAGCCCAUUGAUUUGCACGCACCAUAUUUAUAUGGAGGAGGGAGCUAAGCCAACUCGUCAGCCACAGAGAAGAUUGAAUCCUCAUAUGCAAGAGGUAGUAAGGGCUGAAGUGUUGAAGCUUCUUCAAGCGGGCAUCAUUUACCCCAUUUCGGAUAGCACUUGGGUGAGUCCAACCCAAGUUGUUCCAAAGAAGUCCGGGAUAACCGUAGUCAAGGGGGAAAAUGGAGAUGAAGUGUCCACACGCCUCACAACUGGUUGGAGGGUGUGCAUUGACUACAGGAAGCUGAACGCAGUAACGAGAAAGGAUCACUUCCCUUUACCUUUCAUGGAUCAAGUCCUUGAGAGAGUAUCUGGGCAUCCUUUUUAUUGCUUCUUGGAUGGGUAUUCCGGGUAUUUUCAAAUAGAGAUUGCUGUGGAGGACCAGGAGAAGACUACCUUCACUUGUCCAUUCGNNNNNNNNNNNNNNNNNNNNNNNNNNNNNNNNNNNNNNNNNNNNNNNNNNNNNNNNNNNNNNNNNNNNNNNNNNNNNNNNNNNNNNNNNNNNNNNNNNNNNNNNNNNNNNNNNNNNNNNNNNNNNNNNNNNNNNNNNNNNNNNNNNNNNNNNNNNNNNNNNNNNNNNNNNNNNNNNNNNNNNNNNNNNNNNNNNNNNNNNNNNNNNNNNNNNNNNNNNNNNNNNNNNNNNNNNNNNNNNNNNNNNNNNNNNNNNNNNNNNNNNNNNNNNNNNNNNNNNNNNNNNNNNNNNNNNNNNNNNNNNNNNNNNNNNNNNNNNNNNNNNNNNNNNNNNNNNNNNNNNNNNNNNNNNNNNNNNNNNNNNNNNNNNNNNNNNNNNNNNNNNNNNNNNNNNNNNNNNNNNNNNNNNNNNNNNNNNNNNNNNNNNNNNNNNNNNNNNNNNNNNNNNNNNNNNNNNNNNNNNNNNNNNNNNNNNNNNNNNNNNNNNNNNNNNNNNNNNNNNNNNNNNNNNNNNNNNNNNNNNNNNNNNNNNNNNNNNNNNNNNNNNNNNNNNNNNNNNNNNNNNNNNNNNNNNNNNNNNNNNNNNNNNNNNNNNNNNNNNNNNNNNNNNNNNNNNNNNNNNNNNNNNNNNNNNNNNNNNNNNNNNNNNNNNNNNNNNNNNNNNNNNNNNNNNNNNNNNNNNNNNNNNNNNNNNNNNNNNNNNNNNNNNNNNNNNNNNNNNNNNNNNNNNNNNNNNNNNNNNNNNNNNNNNNNNNNNNNNNNNNNNNNNNNNNNNNNNNNNNNNNNNNNNNNNNNNNNNNNNNNNNNNNNNNNNNNNNNNNNNNNNNNNNNNNNNNNNNNNNNNNNNNNNNNNNNNNNNNNNNNNNNNNNNNNNNNNNNNNNNNNNNNNNNNNNNNNNNNNNNNNNNNNNNNNNNNNNNNNNNNNNNNNNNNNNNNNNNNNNNNNNNNNNNNNNNNNNNNNNNNNNNNNNNNNNNNNNNNNNNNNNNNNNNNNNNNNNNNNNNNNNNNNNNNNNNNNNNNNNNNNNNNNNNNNNNNNNNNNNNNNNNNNNNNNNNNNNNNNNNNNNNNNNNNNNNNNNNNNNNNNNNNNNNNNNNNNNNNNNNNNNNNNNNNNNNNNNNNNNNNNNNNNNNNNNNNNNNNNNNNNNNNNNNNNNNNNNNNNNNNNNNNNNNNNNNNNNNNNNNNNNNNNNNNNNNNNNNNCAAAGCUUGCCAUCUUCCCGUUGAGAUUGAGUUCAAGGCAUGGUGGGCCAUUAAAAAGCUCAACAUGGAUUUAACUAAGGCUGGGCUAAAGAGGAGUUUGGAUUUAAAUGAGCUUGAGGAAUUGAGAAAUGAUGCCUAUCUCAACUCAAAAAUAGCUAAGGAAAAGCUAAAGAGAUGGCAUGAUCAGUUGGUGACCAAGAAAGAAUUUUUCAAGGGACAAAGAGUCUUGCUAUAUGACUCUAAGCUUCACCUAUUUCCGGGAAAGCUCAAAUCAAGGUGGGUAGGGCCUUUUGUCAUCCACCAAGUACACUCACAUGGAGUAAUUGAGUUACUCAACUCAAAUAGUGCAAAGACCUUUAAGGUCAAUGGCCAUCGUCUCAAGCCAUUCAUUGAACCAUUCAAGCAAGACAAGGAGGAAAUCAACCUCCUUGAGCCACAGAAAGCCUAAUCAGAAAAGGGUUAGAUGGGCUUGGUUUCACCAAAGUCCAUAUUUUUUGUUUAAGUUUAUUAAUUUAGAAGCUUUAUUAACUCUUUUGAUUUUGAUUUUGGUCUAAAGUUUUGUUAAUUAUAAGUAACUUCCUCUUUUUGAAUGAUCUUUUGUAGGAAGAUUUGCAAAGAAUAUGAAGGAAGGUCUCAGAGGGCCAAAAGGAGCUUAAAGCUAUGAAAUUUUAGUGGUCUGCGAAAUUUUGCAGCCCAAAAUAGGCCCCUGCGAAAAAGUCCAUCUGCUGCGAAAUCAUUUCGCAGCCCUUACAUGGCCUCUGCGAAAUCAAGGUUUGGCUGCGAAUGGCCCUCCGCUGCGAAAUAAAUUUCGCAGCCCAACACCCUCCUCUGCGAAAAUUUUCGCAGCUGCGAAACCACCUCUUGGCACUCGUGUGCCAUUUCGCAGCACAGUAACUCCAUUUCGCAGCUGCGAAAUGGCUGCGAAAUCCCCAAAGCGUCAAAUCUUCAAUUUUCACAGCGAUAGCCUCAUUUCGUAGGGUGUUUCGCAGCUGCGAAACACCCCUUUGGCACUCGUGUGCCAUUUCGCAGCACAGUAACCCAAUUUCGCAGCUGCGAAAUGGGCUGCGAAAAGGGCCCUCCUCUGCGAAAAUGCUUUUUUGUUGCGAAAUCAGCCCUCCUCUGCGAAAAUUAAAGUGACCCUUGGUAUCCAAUUUUUAACAGUAUAAAUUCCAAAUUUCUAAUAUAACCGGUCAUUUGAACUUUAAAUAGUACCAGAGAAGACCCAAAAACAGAGCAACCUUCCAUCUUCUCCCUCUCGCCUGAACCUCGGCCGCGCACCUCCGCCCAUCUCCGCCGGCCCGCCAUGGCAAGAACUCGAGGAGCUAAGUCCUCCUCCCCGUCAAGCCGUACGAGGGCUUCAUCAAAGACCCCUGUCCAAGGCUCCACAUCCGAGCCUCCGCGACCACCGCGCGUCUCACCUCCAGUUGAGGGCGCACCAAUGAGCCCUCCAGUCAGGCGCUAUCAUACACGGGCGAGUAGCCAGCCACCCAAGAAGAAAGCUAAGGUAUCUGAGCCAGUAUUAAUUGAUUUAUCAGAGCCAGAAGAGCCAGCUACAGAGCCUCAGCCGUCUCAGCCGUCUCAGCCAGCUUCAGGGUCUCGGCCGUCUCAGCCGUCUCAGCCGUCUCAGCCAGCUUUAGAGCCUCAGCCGUCUCUGCCGCCGCCUACAGAUUCUCAGAUCCCCUCCGGCAUGACUCCUGAGAUGAUUAUCAAGCGCCCCAUGCUCACUCAGCCGCCCAUAGAGGGUAAUUUAGACUGCAGGGCUAGGCCUUUCCACUCUGAGCUCUGUUUUGACGUGGCCGCUUUCAGACUUCAGCCCCAGCUCAAGGACUCCUUCCAUCUGCUCCGGAGGUAUCAUAUGGAACAAUUGCUUACUCCAAGGGAUUUCUUUUAUCCCCGUGUGGCAAUGGAUUUUUAUCAAUCCAUGACCACACACCAUGUCCGAGAUCCUACUGUCAUCCACUUCACCAUAGACGGACGUCAUGGUAUUCUGGGAGCUAGGCACAUAGCAGAGGCAUUGCGCAUUCCCUACGAGCCAGCUAGGCCAGAGGAUUAUCGAGUCUGGACUAAUCCUUCCCCGAGCGACAUAGUUCGUAUUCUGUCCAGAGGGGCAUCCACAGGCCAGUAUCUACAGAGGAAGGAGCUCCCUCCUAGCAUGUUUUUCAUAGAUGCUCUCCUCCGCCACAAUAUCUUUCCACUACAGCACUGGGUGCAGAGGCGAGGAGCUUUGCUGGAGGCUUUAUAUCGGAUAUCUGAGGGAUUCUUCUUUGGCCCUCAUCAUCUCAUUAUGGCCGCCCUUCUGUAUUUUGAAGAGAAGGUCCAUCAGAAGAAGCUGCUUAGAGUUGAUGCCAUUCCUCUACUGUUCCCCAGAUUGUUAUGUGGAACACUUGGGCUACCCAACUGAGCCUCAAUUUGAGGGCAAACGGAUUUGUCGAGAGAUAUUCACUCUUGACAAAUGGACGAAUAUGACAGCCUAUAGUGCAGAGCCAGGGGCCCUAGCUGGAGUAGAGCAUCCAGGGAUUCCACAUGCAGAGCAGCCACAGGAGCCACAGCCCAUAGAGACACCAGCUGACACGAGAGCACCUGCCCCUGCAGUGCCCUCUGCAGAGCCCAUACCUGAGGUUGCACCCUCUGCUGAUCCUACCACACCACAGCCUCCCCCUGUUUUUUCAGCCACAUCACAGCCCUCCUCUUCAGCAGAGCCGAGGACUUCCAUAUCCAUUUCCGAGUACAGAGCUCUAUGUCACACUUUGCAGACAUUGACCACUUCACAGAGCACUCUUACUCAGGAGAUGGCUGCUCUUCAUGCUCAUCAGGAGCAAAUUAUUGCUACUCAGACUCAGCAUACUGCCAUUCUGAGGCAGAUUCAGAGCCAUCUGGGUAUUCCAUCAGCUCCUCAGCACCAGAUGCCUGCCCCUUUAGAGCCUACAGAGCCGACUCCAGUGGACACACAGACAUCCACCUGAGUCAUUAUCUUCACAUCAUCAGCACCCAUCUACUUGAUCAUUUCCAUAGUUUACUUUACGUAUUUUCUUUAUGCAUUUUCUUAUUAUAGUAGCACUUGCAAUCCCAUGCUUUUGUUAUGAUAUAUAUUGGGAUUGGUUGUAUUACUUGUUAUUAUCUUUAAUGUACUAUCAUGAAGUAAUACAACUCUAUCAUUUUUUGCAUACUCUUGGUAUUAUUUUAUUUUUAUUCCUCUACUCAUAUCUAUUUUCUUUUUGAAACAUGUGGUUUCUCCUUAUCUCCUCAAAUUACAUACCACUCAGGAGGCACCACUUCCUCCCUAUAAUUUCAAUCGCUCAUGCCACAUUGAGGACAAUGCUCAGCUUGGUUGGGGGGGGGGGGGGGGGGGGGACAGUUGAGGAAGGAAGUUUUUUUUUUAUUAUUAUUGUUAAUACUAAAAAUAUUGGGAAAUUUGGGUUAUUUUUUUUAAAUUUUAAAAAUUUUUCCCAUGGGUGUUAAAAAAAAAUUUCCAAAAAAAAAAAAAGAAAAAUCCAGUUUUAANNNNNNNNNNNNNNNNNNNNNNNNNNNNNNNNNNNNNNNNNNNNNNNNNNNNNNNNNNNNNNNNNNNNNNNNNNNNNNNNNNNNNNNNNNNNNNNNNNNNUCUAUCAUUUCUUACAUUAUCGAGGUAUUAUUUUAUUUUUAUUCCUGAACUCAUAUGGAUUUUAUUUUAGCAACAAGGGGUUUAUCCUUGACUCCUCUAAUUACUUACCACUCAAGAGGCACCCCUUCCUCCCUAUAAUUUCAAUCGUUCAUGCCCCCAAGAGGACAAUGUUCAGCUUGUUUGGGGGGGGGGGGGGGGGGGGGACAGUUGAGGAAGGAAGUUUUUUUUUUAUUAUUAUUGUUAAUACUAAAUAUAUUGGUAAUUUAGGUUACUUUUGUUUAAUUUUUAAAAUUUUUCUCUAUGGUUGUUAAAGAUAAUUUCUCAAAAAUAAAAUAGGAUAAGUCGAGUUGUAACUUAAUUAUUUAAGUCUUUGAGUUUGUUUUAUGCUUUCAAAGUUGAUAAUCUAUUAAAGCUCUCUUUGAUUUCGAACUUAUUUCUUCCAUUUCAAGCUUUACACACACAGUGCACAUUAGAUCCCGGAUAUAUGAUGUAAAACUUUCUCACCUUCUAAGCUUAGGAAAAUUUUGACUUGGUUCAUUUCUUAACUUCUCUUUAAUAGUGUUGGGACACCUCAUAAAGGCCAAUGAGUCUUUCAAAAAAAAAAAAGAAAAAAAAGAAAAAAAAAAAAAAAGGAAUAAGCUUCUAUUCUUUCCUUAAAACCUAAGCAUGAUCCGAAGGGGUGGCGAAAGCCUUUAAAACCCGAUGCCCUAAACCUUGAUUGGUUGGGAGUCAUCGAUUCUCUGCUUGCUACAUAGGUGAAUUGGUUAAAGUUUAGUGAGUAAAAAGAAUUGUGAAUAAGAAGGUGCGUUCCUAACCUAUUAAGAGUUGGUUAAUUUUACCUUUGUUCGAGAAAAGCUUAGGUUGGAGGGUGAGGAUAGUUGUGUAUACUAUAUCCGGAACCUAAUCUCGUUAACACUUAGCUCAUUAUGGAAGAGUUUGAUUUGGAACCUUGAGAGUAGAGAUCUUUUGAUACUUAAUUGCAUAAUCUCCACUCUUUGUACUUUUUGUUUAAGUUUUAGCUUUGACAACUCCUAUUGCAUUUUGAAUCUUCAUAUCUUUAGUUCACCAUGUGAGAUGUGUUUUGAUAUCGGUCAUGCCACUCAAUUUGUUUUUUUUUGGAAUGAUUUGCAUGACCUCUUUUAUGUUUAUUACUUUGUUUGCUUAGUUUUUCUCUCCUUAAUUGCUAAGGGACUAGCAAUAUGUCGGUUGGGGGGAGUGAUUACUACUCAAAAAGGGCUAUUUGAUAGCUUGUAAUUAACUCUUUUAAACAAUUUUGAGUAGUAGUUAUUGCCUUUUAACCCAAUUAGCAUAUUGAGGACCUUUGCAAUCACUUCUAAUCAUUUUGUGUAAGUUUUGGUGUUUUUGUUAGUAAUUUGAUCACCAAAGCAACCCAAGGUGGGGGAGAGUUAUUUGGAAUCCAUGGCAAAGCAAUGGAAAGCUCAGAAACAUGAAGAAUCAGAGCUUUGAAGCCUUAAAGUCCUUUGCCAUAACCAAUCCGGAAUGCAAGGAGGAGAAGUAAAGAGAGAAUCUACCUUGAAGCAUUCUUGAUGACAGUCAUUUCAGCCACUUUUGGAGUACUUCCUGAAGUCCAAUUUAUGCAUGCUUUAUGUUGUUUCGAAGAUCGGGAAGUCAACAAUCCAAUGCUUCAAAUGGUUCGCAAAUCAGAGUUGAAAUGAAGAAGUUAGAGCCAAUGGAAGCAGAUCACUCCAAGCUGAAGGCCAAUUUCGCAGGGCUGCGAAAUCAGCCUUUGGCUGCGAAAUCAGCCUUCGGCUGCGAAAUGAUUUCGCAGCCAUCUUGUUCGUCUGCGAAAUUUCGCAGCCAUUUUGUGCGCCUGCGAAAUUCUCCUGAGUGCUUCCAGAUAUUUGCCACCAACGUUUUUUGUUAUUUUGCCUCAGAUAUUUGCUGUCUAAAUCCCAAUUCUCUCCUUGUAAUCCACCAAUUAGAUGAUUCCUUAGUUGUUAAGCAAGGAUACAGGGGUAAACAACCUAUUAUAUAUUGUUUUGUAAGUUUCAUUUUAAGGGUCGUCGGGGAAUUUUCUCCAAAAGACCAUCUUUUGUAAAGUUUACACUUAGCUAAAUACAGAGUAUCUUUUGCUUUCUUUUUCUCUCUUCUAUUUUCUAUUUUCUUAGUAGCCAAACAUCCUUGGAGGAUGAAAUCCCCAAGGAUGAGAGGCUAAAACCUUUUAGUUUCUUGAAGUAAUGGAUGCCAUGUGAAGCUCCCGUGUCAGGAUGGAGAUUUCCAAGCCAUGAAUGUAAGUAGCUGAGCGUCAUAAAUGUUUUCAUUCAAAGUAAAGCUUUUAAUCCCUCUGACUUGCUUUGAAUGGCCAAUACUUGAUAACCUUUUGGUCUCAGUGGAUUCUUAUUGUUAGAUCCACUGAUGUUCAUUAGUUAUCUCCUACGAGCCAUUGUAUUGCAAGUCGAGGAGAUGACCUAUAUCAUUAAAAGAGCAUUUAUGAGGUUCAACUACCCUUUUUGUAAGUUUUCAAGGACUAAAACUCAGUUGUUAAACUCAUACCGGUUCGGGAAGUAAGCAUCACCUUAGUUGCUUCCCCAACUCGAGGUGAAAAGUCCCAAAAUCUCCAUUUUUACACAGUGAGUUAAGCAUGGCUAUCCAAAGCUUUGAGAAACUUCUUUUUCCAUCUUUUAACCUAUUUUCAUGUUAGUUUAGUUUACACACCUUCAUCUUUUUAUGUUUUCAUCUUAACCUAAUUUUUAUUAAGAAAAGUUCACUCCAUCCUCCGAACUUCACCAGUUAAAGUAAAAACCCUUCCCAGUGUUCGAUCCUAGAGCCACUAUGCUAUAGUAGCUUUGCUACUUUAGUGUAAGGACCUUAGGUAUAAAUUUUGUUGAUACCCUUACAUGCCAAGCUACCAAGAGUCGGGUUAUCAGUUAUCAGGAAAAAUGCCAGAAUGGAUUGGAGAAAGCCUCCCAAAUCUAAUUGUUCUAAACCUAGGAUCUAAUAGAUUCAGUGGAGGGAUAUGUCUAGAGCUCUGUCGGUUGAAAAAUAUUCAAAUAUUGGACCUCUCUAGCAACAAUAUGUUAGGUGUUAUACUGAGAUGUUUUGGUGGUUUCACUACCAUGACUAAGAAAGGGAGCUUGGUGAUUGCUCAUAAUUAUUGGUUUGAACAGUUUGGUGAUGGCUGCUUUGAUGAUGGCGGGAUAUUUAUGAACUCCUCUUACGUUGAUAGGGCAUUGGUUAGAUGGAAAGGAAGAGAAUUUGAGUAUAAAAGUACCCUUGGGCUUGUAAAGAGUAUUGAUCUUUCAAGCAACAAACUAUCGGGGGAAAUUCCAGAAGAAGUAAUUGAUCUUGUAGGAUUAGUUUCAUUAAACUUAUCAAGGAACAAUUUUAUUGGACUGAUCCCUACAAUAAUUGGUCAAUUGAAAUCAUUAGAGGUUUUUUAUUUGUCUCAAAAUCGAAUUUUUGGCAAAAUUCCAACUAGCCUUGUUGAAAUAAGUGGUCUAAGUGUCUUAGAUCUCUCUAACAACAACUUUUCCAGUAAAAUUCCACAAGGUACUCAACUUCAAAGCUUCAAUAUUGAUUCCUACAAGGGAAAUCCUACACUUUGUGAAUUGCCUCUUUCGAAAAAGUGUUCUAAAGAUAAAAUAAAACAAGAUUGUCUCAUUCAUAACAUUGAAGACAAAAUUCAGCAAGAUGGAAAUGACAUGUGGUUUUAUGUUAGUGUUGCUCUUGGAUUCAUUGUUGGAUUUUGGGGAGUGUGUGGAACUUUACUACUCAAUAACUCAUGGAGAUAUGCCUAUUUCCAAUUCUUGAAUAAAAUAAAAGAUUGGUUGUACGUGAUUAUAGCAAUAAAUAGGGCUAGAUUACAAAUGAGUCUUCAAAGCUAAAUGGUACAAUUCUCUCCCUCUCUCCCUCCUUUUCAUUUGUACUUGUUUUUGAAGGCCAACAAUGGUAAAAGAAAAGUAGGCCUUUACAUAUCCUUGGGAUAUACUUUAUAAAUCACAAAUGCUAAUGUAAAUUUUCUUUCCAUGCAACUAACUGAAGAGACUUUUUCAAAUUGAUGAACAUUGAUUUUUUACUUUGUGUUAAUUGCAGGACUUCAACUCUUGUUCUUGCCAUAUUAGCAUGAUUGAAUACAAAUCGCUAUGUCCUUCAUUAAUCUAUGAUUGAUUUUGGGAUGUAAUAGGUUUCUUGUUUUAUUUUGAUGAUUACUUAUGUUCUUUAGAUGCUUAUUUUAUCUUUUAUUCAAAAGUUUAUGUGACAUAUUAUCUAUUUUCUUCCUUACACAAUGCUUUUAUUUGGUAUUUGGAUACUUUAUGAUUCAUCCAAACAAUAUUAUAGAAGGAUAUCAAAGGUAUAUUAGAGUAUGACUUUCUAAUUUUAAAAAUAUUUCUUUAGCUCUAAAACUAAUUUUUAUUCAUUAAAAUUAAAACAAAAUAAAGGAUAAUGCUAUUUGGUUAUGUAUGACAUAAGUUUUUGACCAAUUAUUAAUAAUCAAAUCAUAAUUUCAACACUAAAGAAAAAAGAAAAUUUUUUCGCAAGUUACUAAUGAUCUGUUUCUCUCUUUCUAAAAAAACUAAAUUACUCUUAUAAAUGCGAAACUAUUUCUUUCUUGUCAUCAAAGCUUUCUCACAUGUAGAUAAUUUUUGUGAAAUCUUUUGUUUUCAUCCAUUUUUUUGCUUAUAUCAAGUUAACUUCGUUUUCUUCUUAGUGGUUGAUUUUAUGGAAUAUUAAGUCUAACUUCUUUUCUUAAUAAAAGGCUUUUUCUAAGCAAUUAAAAAACUCUUGUUCUUUUCUUUAUUUUAACAUAAUCCAACUAUAGGAUAACUAAAAUAUGAUUGAAAAAUAUAAAAUAGGAGAGAAUAAUUAUAUUCUAAUUAUACUCUAUAAAUAAUAUCAAAUAUUUUCUUCACUUAUUAGAAAAUAGUACUGAACUCCAACAUCAUGAGAUUAACAUCCCAAUGAUCUUUUUUUAUUUGUUAAAAAUUCUUAUCUUUCGAGGUACAUAACAAAAUUCCUUAAACACUUUAGCCCAAUGAUCUCAUGUUGUUUUGUUUUAAUUUUUUUUAUCCUUUCCCAUCUUUUUGAGGUCCUCCAUAGCUAGGAUUACUCUUUGUGAGAAUUUACUCAAAAAGCCAUUAAGAAUCAAGUCCUUUCGAUUUACUCUUUAUGAUAAAAUCUUUUAUCUAAAAUAUUUUUCAUGAAACGAUAAUUCUCUACUAUGAUUUUUUAAAUUUAAAAUUAUAAAAGACUUCAAUUCUUAUUAAAAAUAUUAUUUAUAUUAAUAUUUUCUUUUGAACUCUUUCUAUUAGGACAAGUAAUGACCGUGUAGACCCCUCAUUUUGGUUCUAGAGGAGACUUAUUUUUUCUGGUCACCUUUCGUUCUGUUUUCACCUUUUGGAAGGUGAGCUCUAAUAAGCAGGUGGCAAAAGAGGAUAUUCUGGUCGUAGGCUGUGAGGGUAAGACACUGUGGCAGUGAGGUUUUGGUGUUUCUGCUGGUUGUUUUAGAGAAAGUAGUGGAGUGUCUUGGUAGCAGGAAGAGUUAGGGGGUUGUUAGAGGGCAGUAGAAAAUGUCCUCUGCAGGUAUCCAUCACCAUUUGGUUGGCGUAUUGGAGAAGUAUUGCAUUGGACCAGCAUGAGAUGGUAAGAAACUCCCAACUUAAUUUGGAGCGAUACCUUUGUUUUCAUGCUGAGUACCAGAGUUGGGACUAGGAAUUUGAUCACUAACAAGAAUAGUGAGCAUUUUAGGUUGAAUGAGGGUCCUUCGAGAAUCUACGGAUGAUGGCCACUUGAUUUUGGAGUUGGGGAACUAAUUUUCUCACUGCUGAUGAUAUGAGUGUCAUACUAGUUGCAAAACUGAAGAGAAGAUUGGGAUGUGAAAUGUGGGCAAAAUUACAUUUGACUGGCAUGCAUGUUGAUAAGGGUAUCACUGGAGAUCAGGUAGAGGUAGGUGGCCUUUCUAGGGGUUUUUAGACAGAAAAUGUGCUUUCCGAUAGGUAACCUAACCCUUGGACCCAACUUGGUCCUUCCACCAAGUCUCAACCUUGUUAAAUGUCAUAAAUUCUCUAAGUUCAGGCUGCCUCUAGAAUGCAAUUAAUAAUAUUAAAAUGUUACUAUUAAAAGAUAAUUAAUGAUAAUAAAUAUAGUUUAUGAAAUUUGAAUAUUUUUAUUCUAACAACCUAUAAAUAGAAUAACAACUUGACUAAUAUUAAAAUAUAUCAUUUGUAAAGAAAUGUAUCAUAUGUAUAGCUUGUUGAAAUUUGAAUAUCUUUGUUAUAGUCACAUAUAAAUAAAAUAAUAAAUUUGUUGAUAUUAAAAAUGUAUAUUUAUUUAGAAAGUUUGUAUAAGGAAAGUGACAAAUUGACUGAUCAUAUUAAAAAUAUAUUUAUUUAGAAAACAUGUGACAUUUUUCUCAUCAUAUUCUUCAUAUUUGUAAGAAAGGUAUCAAAAGUGUCCUAAAAAUUAAAUUUGUUAUUCACUCUACUUGGAUAAGUAUCCUAAAAAUUUUCAAUGCUAGUUCACAUGCAUUCUAUAUCAACUUCUCGUUAGAUUGCUAGUGCACCUCACGUGCCUCAUCUUGCAUACUAAAAAUUUUCAUAAUGAACUCGAAAAUGCAUUUUCAUGUUAUUUCCAUUUCCAAGUCAAGACCAAAUACAUAUUAAAAUCAAACACAUAUAUAGCUAAAACUAAAAGGUUGAAGGGGCUUAUUUAUGCAAAACAUCCAAAUAUCUUGAAACCUUUUCUUUUCUUUUUGUUUGCUAAAUGUUUCAUAGAGAGAAAGUAGAUCACCCCAACCUGUGAUAAGGGUUCUUCAAAAUGAACAAUGUUAAUGGAAACAGUAAGUGUAUUUUGUGUAUUGGAAAUUUCGGGUCAAUCAUAGCUCAUAUUCUUCAAAUCCUCCCUUGUACACUUGCCUUUUCCAAAUUGUUCGUGCUUGAAGAUGACUAAAGGAAUUGGUAAGUGCAUUUGAGGUGAUGGAUGAUGGAAAACAAUGAUCAAUUGUAUUUUAAUUUAAUUUUUUAUCCUUUUAUUGGAAAAUGAAAUUAAAGCUUAAAAGUGUAAAACAUUGUGUUUAAAACAUUUGGAUCGGUUUUUCAUCAAUCGAACUAAAGAGUAACAAUUUAUCUUGAACACAGAUUUUUUAGUCUUGUCUAAUCGAUCAUAUUUCAAUCACACCUAUGAAUUUUCAUGAUUUUCCAAACAAAUCUCAAUCAUUGGUAGAGUUUCAAAACACUAAUACAAAAGCUCUCUUUUGAGUCGUGGAAAGAUGAGUGUGAGAGUAAAAACCUUUGGUUUUUGUGCUUCAAGUUUUUCUUACUAUAUUGGGGAGUGUUUGCCUUAUGAAAAAAAUUUAUGAGUUUCAAUUGAAAAUCAGUUUUUGAGUAAAAAAUCUUUAGUUCCAAAUGGGUUGAUUCAUUGUGUUCUUCAUCCUACCUCUCAUAUUUCUCUCAUAUCUAACUUAUUGUGGUAAAACCCAAGAUUCUUCCUUUGUGGACUCAAGAAAAGGCCGAGAUCAAAGCUUAGAGUGGAUUCCAAGUGUUUUCCUAAAGAAGAAUGAUGGUAGGUAAAGCUUGAAGGUUCUAGGCAAGUGGUCCAAGAAAUAAUGUAAGACUUGGGCUAGGUAAAACCUUGUACUCAACUAUUUUUUCUUCAUAAUGGAUUAUUUGAUUGUUUGAGGCCUGUGGUUUUUUAUCUUUUUAGAGGUUUUCCGUGUUAAAAAAAUUGGUGCCAUUGUCUAUUUUUUCUAUCUUGUCUUUUGAUUAGCAUUUCAUGAGCUUAUGAUAUUUUUCAUUGUUUUAUGGUGAUUGAAUUAAUUGGAGCAUGAGCUAAAAUGUGUCUAUUGAAUCUUUGAAAGAACAAGAUAUAUGUUAGUUGUUGAUUGAUGAUAAGGGGCAUGUGAAAAAACGUUUUUAUAUUGAUGCAAUGUUUUAUAUAUUAGGUUUGGGGAGUGUUGUUUCAUUUGCAUGUGACUUGCAUUGAAUAACUUGUUUAGGAGAGCGUUGGUGCAUCCAUUGUUGCUUGUGAUUCGCUUGUUUGUUCAUAAGGUUGAAAAAGAAAAUCAUUGUAUAAGGGAAAAAUAGGGGAAUUGUGAGAAUUUAUGAGAUACCAUCUGUAAUUGUUUUAAAAAACACCUAUUCAUCCCCCUCUAGGCAUUAUCCAUAAGUGAGAUUCACCUUCAAUUGGAAUUAGAGUGAGUUUCAAAGCAAAAAUCAUUGUCGAUCCUUAAAUCUCAAAUAUGGAACCUCAUCAAGAGGGUGCACCUAUUGGGAUACCCCCCUUUUUAAUUGGUGAAAAUUAUUCUCAUUGGAAAGUAAGAAUACAAUAUUUUCUCAAAAUGCAAAGUGAAAAAGUAUGAAAUGCCGUUGAAUUUGGUUGGCCUCCACCUAAGGUGUUGGAUAGAGAAGGUAGACUAACAAAUGUGAUCAAGCUUAAAUUGGAAUGGGAUAGAGGUGAAAAUGAAGCUAGUGAGAACAAUGUUAGGGCCAUGUAUUCCAUCUUCAAUGCCAUUAGCAUGGAUGAAUUUCGUAGGAUUGCUACUUGUACCUUAGCUAAGGAAGCUUGGGACAUCCUCCAAGUGACUCAUGAAGGAACCAAUGCUGUUAAAGUGCCUAAACUUCAAAUGUUGACCUCUAGGUUUGAGAUAAUUAGGAUGGAAGAUCAUGAGAAUUUUGGAGAGUUUCAUGCAAAAUUGAUGGAUAUUGUGAAUUCUAGUUUUAAUCUAGGUGAACCCAUACCUAAUUCUGAAAUGGUUAGAUAGAUUCUAAUGUAUCUUUCGGAGAGAUUUAGAGCAAAAGUCACCGCCAUUGAAGAGUCCAAAGUUGUGGAUUCCUUAAAGAUUGAUGAACUUGUAGGUUCCCUCCAAACCUUUGAAAUGACCCUUGUAUCACCUAAGAAAGUUAAGGGAAUUGCUUUAAAAGCUAUUAAAGAAGAGUCUCUAAGUUUCAAAAGUGAGGAUGAUGAGAAAAUGUUAGAAGAUGAGCUUACCAAGUUUGCUAAAAAAUUCAAGAAGUACAUGAAAUUCAGAAAACCUAAGAAGGAAUCAAAUGAUGGUAAAAAAUGGAGGAACUCAAUUAGGAAAAAGAAGAAGUUGGAAAAAGAUGUGAAAAAAGACUUGAAAAUUGAGUGUUUUAAUGGUGGGGGAAAUCAUCACUAUGCAUUUGAAUGUCCUUCAAAGAAAAAGAAUAAUAAGGCCAUGCACGUUACUUGGAGUGACUCUGAGUCUAAUCGAACAAGUGAAAAUGAAUCAAAUGUAUAUGAUGAAUGCACUAAAUUCAUAACCUUUGCUGCAACUAUCAAAGGGGAACCUCUCUUAAAAAAAGCUACAAGUGAGUUAAUUGAGUCAAGUGACUCCAAUGAUUAUUACAUGAGUUUUGACACGGCAUAUGAGACUUUGUAUAAGGAGUGCUUAAGCCUUAAACAAGAACAAGUUAAGUGGACGACUUCUAAUAAGAUUUUAACCAAUGGGAUUGAUGUUUUAAAGAGAAAAAAGAAGACUUUGCUUGACAAAAUUGCAUUUCUUGAAAAUGAACAUUUGGAAGUGAAGAAAAAGUGUGAUGUGUUGAAAAAUGAAAGUCAAAUGUUCAAGGAUGAGUUAAGUGUUGGGAAGGAAGAGUCAUAUCCUAGCUUUAAGAGAGUUAAUGAGUUGAUCAAUUCAAGGAGAAAAUCUUUUGAUAAAAGAGGUCUAAGAUUUGUUGAUGGAAAUGCUACUCUAAGUAACGCUAAGAUAGUUUUUGCUAAGCCUUGUGAAGAAAAAUUUCCUAAGAAAAUUCAUUCUCAUAUCAAGUUUCAUUGCACUCAUUGUGGAAAAGUGGGGCACACUUUUGAUAGAUGUUAUGCAACAUUAUUUGAUAAUUUUCAAAGGAAAUUGACCAACCUAAUGAAUGAAUGUCAUGCAUUGAAGGAUAGGUUGUUGAAUGUGAACAAGAGAGUGUCUAAGAAGCCUUUAAAUAUCCCUUAUAAUGGUGAGUUGAAAUGGAGCACCUCAAAUGGAAAAAAUGAAGGCAUUAAAUGUCAAAUAAGUUUAGGUGAAAAAGAAAGAGCUUAAGUGUCUUGUUGUCCAUAGCACACUUACAGUUAGUGGGUCACACCCAUGGUAUCUUUAUAGUGGAUGUUCACGCCAUAUGAUUGGAAAUAAAUAUUUUUUCAGAUCACUGAUUUUGAUGGAGCAAAUGUUACAUUUGGGGAUGGUAAUGUGACUAGAAUGAAAGGAAAAAACUCUAUAUGUGCUUUAGGCAUUCCUAAGCUUGAAGAGGUCUUCUAUGUGGAAGGUUUAAAGGCCAACUUAAUAAGCAUCAGCCAAUUAUGUGAGAAUAAUCUCAAUGUCCAAUUUUCAUAAAAUGUGUGCAAGGUGUUUGACUUGAAUGGUGAUUGUGUGAUGAUUAGCUUGAAAACUUUUAAUAAUUGCUAUGUUGUUUGUCAAAAUAAGCUAUUUCAUCUUCUUCUCUUGUGUUUGAAAGUUCUAAAAUUGAUUUUGUUGAUCACUUGUGGCAUAAUAGAUUGGUUCAAAAAUGAAAAUGGGUGUGUCAUUCUAAAGAUUAGGAGUGAUAGGGGAGGGAAAUGGAUGAUGUUUGUGUCAUUUAUAGAUUAGAGAAUCAUCUUCAUCAUUUUAGAGUCAAACUCAUUGGCAUUAGACAUUGCUCUAAUCAAGACUUGAUGGAAGACAAACUUGUUUCCUUCAAAUAUGUUCCUACUGAGUGUCAAAUGGUUGAUAUCCUCACUAAGCUUUUGGAUGUUUCCAGGUAUGAGUCACUUAGGAACUCCCUAGGCUUAUGUUUUCUGAGUUGAUUGUCUUUAAGGCCUUUCUAUGACAUCUCUUCUUGUAUAUUUUUUCUUCCUAGAGGUUUCAUAGGCUUAUUGAGUCCUUGUGUUGCCUUGUUUUUCUUUUUUCAUGGUUAUCAUUCUUUUUGUUUGUUUUGGUAUUUCCUUAAACCCUUUUUCCUCUCUAGUUUAAAAAUAGAUGUUUGUUUUUAUGAGGACUUGGCAUUGUUUUCUUUUUAGCAAAUGGUUAUUUUGUGUCAUAAUGAUCCAAAAGUCUUCCAAGACAUGAAAAUCCUUCUCGUGUUGGUGUGAGAUGGAGCAUAACAUGCUUAUUGUUUAGCUUUGCUUGGAUAAGCUGCAAGAUACUUAUUUCAUAUCCAUUGAGUGAUCAACAACUUGUGCAGUGUUUUAUGAUUUCAUAAAACCUAACAAAUGAUUUUUAAAGUUCAACAUUUGGUUUAUAUCAUUCAGUGUGCCUUAAAGAUUGAGUAAAGUCACAUGAAUCUUCUUGAGAAAUUGAAUUUGUGUCUCUUGAUUGUUUACACUCUCCCAAAUAAAAAAAAGAAUAUUAUUCAUUUCUCAGAAUGGUUAAAGCACCUUGGCGAUGUUUCAAGUGUAAAAAGCCUCCAUUACAAAAGUGGGGCAUUCCUUUAUGUUUGAAAUGACAUAUUUGUAUUGGCCACCUUAGUGAUCUCCAAGUCAAUAUUCUAUCCUAAGUGUGUUGUCAGCAUGUUAUCAAAACAAAUAAAAAAUAAAAAUGAAAACAAGAUGUGAUUUUGUUUGCAUGUCAAGGGAUGUAUAUUUAGUCAAAGAAUGUAUUUUUGACCAAGUUAAAUAGAAAUCUAGUAAAGGAGAUGUAAAUUGACUUCAAGAGAAAUAAAUUUGAGUUUCUUUAGGGAUGAAUAUGAUCUUGAAAAUGUUUUUUGGUUCAUGGAUAUCUAUAGCCUUAUAAGUGGAUAUUAUUUAUCAUUGUUAGUUUUUUAUGGUCUUAUGAGUAUACUCUUUAAGCCAAAAAUCAUUGGAGUGUUAAUAAUUUCUUGUUUUUUUUUUUAUCCUUUGUAGACCCUCAAUUUUGUCCCUUGCCACUUGCAUGUAUCUUGGGGGUGUCACUCGCACCCAAUUUCUGUAUGUCACGGCCAUGGAGCCCUUGUUGGGCUUAAUCGGGUUUCGGACCUCACAUGAGUUCACUUAUGGUUUGAUUUAGUGAGAGUGUUUGGUUCUUUAUGAAAUGCCGUCGUGGCCAAUUCCUUGGUUCAUAUCAUGCUACAUGUUAGGAGUUAGGGUCUCCAUAAAGAUUUCAGUUCAGUUAAAGCUCGCCGAAGCCCAUCCAAGUCGGCAGUACUCUGUCUUGUUUUAGUCAUUUCUCCCUCAUCUGAGCUCAGAAUUGCGCACCAUUUUUUUUUUGUUGGAUUCCUUAUUUCUCGAGGCAUAUUCUGUCAAAAUUUGAGAAUUUUUAUCAACCGACUCGAUUGGUUUGUUUUUGGUGUUCUUAGCACCCUAGGCCCAUUUAGAUGCACCUAGCCCAUUUGGCACACUCCUAAGUCACUUAGCAUGUUGUUUUUUUUUUUUUUAAUCAUUUGGACACCUCCUUGGUUUAGUUUCCCCCUAAUUCACCUUGGCACUUUCCACUUAGGUCACCUAGGUCACUUAGAGAUUUAUUUAUUUAUUUAUU